GGUUGCUGCUGAAACAAUUGGUCACGUUGGAGGCUCCAGCGGACUCCUCUUUAAAAGAACUUUCAAAGGUGAAUUUGAGAAUGAGAAAACGUGCUAGCAGGUGCACUUGUUGGGAAUUAGACAAGGCCCAAUCAUAGUCAAAAGAAGAAUUUUGGCUUCUCCUUGGCAAGACAAGCUACCUUUCUAGGAGCCUCUUCAGAGAAUCAUUGAACAUGUAAUUACAGAACUAGUUGUUUUUCUUCUUUUCAUUGGAUCAGCACUCAGAUGUGACUCAGUCGGUUUUCUGCAGAAUAUUAUCAUCAUUUUGAAGUAUUGAUCGAGGAUUACCUUAAAGAGAUUUGCAAACCUGUUAUCCUCAGUAUCUAAGUCUGAUUAUGUGGAACAUUUGUUGAUGUUCGUUAUCAGUGUCACUCUUUAUGAAUGAUUGCCUAGACCCCUCAUUUAACCUUCAGCAGCUUCUCUGCUUGUGAUCCCUAAUUGGGGCAUGGCUGCUGGACUUGGACACAAGUUCCUAAUAUGUAUAAAAGAGGUUUUGGAGCGUUGAAAGCCAAAGAUUUGUCAUGGAUUUGAGAAUGUUGUCUUCAUCGUUUUGUUUUGUAAACAUUCUGACCAACAUAUAUGUGUACUUUUUUUUUUUUUUUUUGGCUUAGUCAGCUUCUGCUCAUAAAUUUGUUGUAGCUGUAAGCGUCAUUGUUUGGCAUUGUGAAGCCGUUUCUUGUCCCACGGAACCUGAAUCUUUAAUGCACUUUAGAAACGUGGGAGGAGCUUUGCUAUAUUGCUAGAAAUGGCUAAGCAGCUUUUUCUGCUGGUAUUGAUACUCACCAUUGCCUGUGUUACAUAAAUAUAUCUUGCUAGAGAUCUUGAUUAAUGUGUACAGAAAAUCUUUGUAGCUGAAUCACUUGGAGAAGAGCUUUGUGUUUGGGUUCUCUUACUCUGUUGUUAAGAGCUUUAAUCAAUCACAUUAAAUCAACACUAUCAUUUGACAGACAGACCAUAUAAUGAUAAUUUAUACACGCUGGUAUGAUAUUCUAUCGUCUUGACCUCUUACUUCUAUAUUACCAUUUUAGGAAGCUGAGAAACAUCUCCUUAGAGGUUGUUUCCAAGUACCUGGUGGCAAUGGCAAAGAUAGACCAGCCAAUGGGAAUUGUCAGUUCCAAAACAGCACAACAGUGAGAUUUUGAACUAGGGUGACAAAUUUAGAAAAGCCGCUUGACCUUGUUAAGAAAAGUCGCCACCAAAUCCCCAAGGAAACCACGGUUCAUAAGGCUGCUUGGAGAGCUUGAAUUGAUUGAAUGAAUGAUCUCUCCCCUCUCAAUGCUUCCUAUAGCCCUUCUCCCCUCUCUCUCACCGAAGAAUGCUGUUUCACAUUGUGGUGGGGACUGGAGAUAUGCAUCAUAGAACUUUCGCGUGGCUGUCUUAAAUUUGAUUGUAUAUUUUGUGGGGGGACCAAAUCCCGGCCUUGUUUCUGACUGAAAUGAUGUACUGGAUACACUUUAUCUAUAGAAAUGGAGUCUGGUCUUUUCAUCUUUCCUCUUUCCUCUAUACCCCCUCCUUUUAAUUGAAGAUUUGCUGGCUUUCAGGGUCCAGAAAAUGUACCGGUGGAACAGGUAUCAGCACAAGAUGUGCACUCAUUUGGAUUGAAAUAAGCGCCUUGUUACAGAAUUGUGUUUCACAUUACAAAUAUUGCUGGUGCUUGUAUUUUUUCUAACAUCGGUGAUAACUCUCUAGAUUAAAGGCUUAAUUAAUGCUACUUUUCGAUUUCAUUUCAUAUUCAAAAUGAGCACCUGUUUUUAAGGGGCUUCAUUUCAAUAAUAUAUCUGCACUUUUUAUCUCCCCAAGAGACGUUAUUUUUCUUCAAGUUGAUACCUCUUAGGGAUGGACCUUUGUUCUCUAAAAUUCCAGCUCCUUCAUUUGCUUUGUGGAAACUGAAAAAUAGGGAAAAGCUACAUCUACAUCUUUUGGCUCUGGAAAUAGUCAUGCUCACUAGUAAAUAGCACUCAUUUGUUAGUGAAAAGCACUGUUCUACUUUCUUCACAAAGUAAAUGUACAAAGACACAUAGGCAAAGGAGAGAGAUCAACACAGCUGGAUUUAUGGCGCUCUCAAUCCCCAAAAUUCGCCAGGUUCUUUCAAGCUCCUAGGGUAUGAGUUCGUAGUUUCAACGUCCUUUCAAAUUCUGAAUGAACUGUUUUUGUGUUGAGUUCAAUCCUAAGAAGAUUCACUUUGUUUCUCCAAUCUCUACGCAAUUUUCUCUUCAGCUCGUUUGUCAUUCCAAUGCUGGGAUUUUUUUAUUACUACAUUGAAGAUUUUAUUCUGGCGAGUGAUGUUCUAUUUUGACUUUCCAGUAUGCAAUUUUUUGUUUGCUGCUGCUUUCUUUUUCCUUUUUUUUUUUUCACUUUGAUGAUCUUGGUCUUCAUGAUAUCAGAACUGCGAAAAGAGCAGAGUUUCAAAAUUUAAGAGGAGCAUAAAUGUGUUUCCAAAAAACACAUGAACUAUAUUACAAGUUUGAGCAAGGUUAUCUGUAUGUAUCGUAUUGCUGGAAUGGUGAGAAGAAGCCUUUUAACGAAUUUAUUCACUUUAUGACGAGUAGCAACAUCUCACCAUCUAUCUAAAGUCCACCGGUAUUUACAAUGACCCUCAUGUGUUAUGCACUUACACAAUAAGCUUAUGGCAAUGCGCAUGAACAAGACUAGCAGUGUGACACCGAGAGAUGAAGCAUCAUUUCCAAGUGGUGGCGGAGAUGUGGUGUUGCCAGUGGUUGUGUCUAGUAGUGACAGAGAUCCCGCUGGACUAGAGGUUGGGCCAGUGGAAGUUUCACUGAUGGUGACCACCAAUUUUUGGCCACGAGAGCAAUGGUCGCCAUUAGGAAAGUGUAGAUACGAGCAAUACUCGCCAGCUGCAGCGACGGAAAAGGCCGUCGGUCUGUUUUUUAGGGUGGUGAACGGAGAAGCGGUGUAGCGGUGUUGCAGUUGUUGUUGUCAUCCUUUGACACGUACGCGACAUUGCAGUUGUCGUUGUUGGAACCUGUAAUGAACACUGCAAAAAUGAUGGAAGAUCAUCCGGCUUUGAAGAGUGACACUCAAGAUUGAUUGCAGUUACAAGUAAUCGAGAAUGGACUGGUCAGAGCAAAGUCAUUAAAAAUUACGAUAAGCGAGUAUAUGAUUCCUACUCGAAGAGCACCAAAACGAGAAGGGCGUGUUGGUUCACCCAGUCAAAGGACAUGGUGGUGUUGGAAUGGAUCCUUCUUCGCGCAGAACCUCUGAUUAUUAGUUCUUAGCCAUUUUGGCCGGGCUUCUGCCAUAAUCUCAGGUCGGCCCCUUAGAUCUCCAUUCUUUGUCGAGGGGGUGAUUUUUUAGCGCAAACGAAGGUGGGAAGUAGAUGAUGCGAAUGAUACACAUGGACUGUAUAGUGAGUUACUAGCUUAGUUGCUUCAUCUGAGUAAUAAUACUUUCUUGAGUGGUUGAUGACUGAGAUUGCGAUCGAAAACGAAGAAAGCCUGUACUUAUUGUUUAUUCCCUUUUAAAAUGAUGCAUUCACAACUGUCUUUUGAUGGGAGUGAAAUUACUCAGGCUCUAGGAUGUUGCCGAAACAGAUAGCGGGAUGGGGUGGCAAUGAACGCGAUGCCAUAAUACUCAAACCAAUUAUAAUUGGAUUAAGAAGGACGAUUUGAUCAUGGGCUGCAAUCUCUUAAAUUCUUUAGUCUCUAUUCUAUCCAAUUUCUUGAUCAUUCCAGCCACCGACCAGAAUAUUUUGACUAAUUAAUAUCUAUAAAAGUUCUGCGUUAAAACUAGAUUAGAACAUAUCGCGACUCAGAUCACUUGUAUAAAAUGUCAUAUUGCUUAAUCUGAAUUUCCACUCUGGGCAGUAAAAUUGAUUGCUUUAUGAUCUUGCUGGACCAAUAUCGCAGCUAAGAUGACAUCAGUGUGUUAGCUCAACAUCUCUACAUGAACAGAAGAUCCAUUAGAAACAACUCUCAUGACGAGAAAAGAUCAACGCUGCAUCACAUGGAUCUCAUAUCUAUACUUCGCAAAUUCCAUGAAUAACUCGCAUGAUGUGAAAAAGGGGAUCGGGCGCAUUGCGAGUCUUUCCAAAAAAAUACAGAGAAGAAUUGGGACUCAAAAGGCAUUUUCAGUUGAUGUCGUUUAGGAAUCAAUUGAGCUUUGUUUGUACCAAGCGUCUAACCCUCAAAGCUAGAGAACAACAUUAUAGUGUGUGAUGUCAGCAUCUAUAUAUAAACAUUUGCCCCGAAACGCAAAAUGCAUUUGCGAUAGAGAAAACCAAUAGAAACAGUUCUCAUGAAGAGGGAAGAUCGUUGUUGCGUCACACUAAUCCUAUGUAUGCUCUUCACAAAUUCCACUGAUAAUCCCGCACAAUUAGCCAUGAGAAAAUGCAAUUUUGGAAGCCGAAGAUGACGAGAACAAAAGUUUUUUAUCAAGGCAAAGUGUCAAAUAUAGCAUAACCGUCGUUGUGGGAAUAUUUUCUCGAGCCAAAGAUCAGAAAAGUUGUUGAUCAAGUAGCAUCCCGUGUACUCCCAAACCUGCCCUUUUGAAUUGACGAAACAAUGCAUCAUGACAAGCGAAUCUUUUGAGAAACUGUAAAAAGAGGCCAAACCACACAAUGCAAUUCUAUGAUUUGAACAAUGAAAAAGAACAACGAGAAUUUCUCAGAAAUUUUCAAAUUCAGACUUCAUCAAUAUGGAAUAAGAUGUUGUUCAAAAGGAACUAUGUUUUGAGGAGGGAAUAUAGUAAUAGCAUCCGUCAACCGACCAAUAUCAAUUGAGAAACUGAAUGUUGUGUUUACAUACAAGAUUGUAUUGCUAGUAGUUGGCCGACCGUUGUCAAGAAUGGUUACUUAAAAGGCUUCUUCUUACUCUUUUGGCAUGAAAUUUCUUUUUCUUAUUUGAAUAAAGGACACAAAUAGUAGUCUCGUACAAUAUUAAGAGGAAAAUAUAUCAAUCGGCUCAACAUUCACUAAUAUAUUCAAUUCAAGCGAUUUAAAUUUCUAAUCCUAUUUCAUUUCCGAUUUUAUAUUGAACAAGUGAGCUUUCGUUUCUCACCUUUACUCUAAAUUUCCAACCACCCUUUUGAUUUCCGUUCACAUGCAAAGUCAAAUCAAGUGUGAAAUCUGAAUGGUGUAGAUGGCUGCAACCCACCGGUCGCCUUGGAGGAAAAGAAAAGAAAGGAGAUCUCAUCUUCAUUGCAAAGCAGGCCAGCCCAGCCCAAGUAAUUCUCAGGCUCCAUGGGCCGUCUGGCGAAGAUUUGGGCCAGAAUCUCUAUCGGUUGUUGGAUCUUUUCCAAGGACAGGGACGGGCCAAUCCGAUUCGGAUUGGAUUCGCUUAUGUUUCGGAUCCCCCGAUUUCUCCUCCAUUUUCAUCCAUUUUCACUUUUAUUCCCCUGUGCUCUUUUAUUUAUUUAUAUUAUUUAUUUUUUGCUCUUUUAUUUAUUUAUUAAUUUAAUUUGCUCUCGCAUCAGUGUGUUCAAAGAGGAGGAGGAGGAGAGAGGAGAGGGAGAAACAGACGAGUGGAAGUUUUCGCGAGUGAGGGGUUCACCGGGGCGCUCUUUCUCUCUCCUCUUUCUUCCCCUUUCUCCUAGGUCUCCGAAUCGAUUGUCGUCGGAGACUCUCGCCGAUUGAGAUGGUGAGUUCGCGUCCCCGCUUUCAGAUCUGCAGCGAGUCCUAGGUGGGUGGCAUUGGGGCAACUCAAUAAGGGGGUUCUUAGCGUGUUUUCACCUCAACUUGGUGGUUUAGUACCGUGAGUACUGAAUGUGCGUGACAUUGUUGAGUUAGUGGAUGCGCUAUAUUGUAAAUGAUUUUCUUUCAAGGUCUGACACUUUUUUUUUUGCAUUAUCUAUUGAAUCCAACUUCUCACGGGUAACGAAAUAUUCAAGUUGGCGAGAUUUGGAAGAAUUGAUUAAAAAGAUGUGCUUUUGGGUCCCUUUUGUGGAAGCUUGGAGUUUAUCUCUGUGGAAGAAUUGAUAAAAAGAUGUCUUUUCGAAGUAUUACUCAAGGAUUACCUUGAAGAGACAUGCAGAGCUGUUAUACCUCAGCAUAUGGGUUGAUUAUGUUGAACAUUUGUUUAUAUUCUUCAUCAGUGUCGAUCUUUAUGAAUGAUUGCCUAGAGCCUUCAUUUAACCUUGAGCAGCCUCUCUGCUUGUGAUCCUUGUGGGGCGCGGUUGCUAGACUUGGAUACAAGUCCCAAAAAUGGAAAAGAAGUUUUGGUGCCUUGAUAGUUAAAGGCUUGUCAUGAGGUUGAGACUGUUGUCUUCAUAGUUUCGUUUUGUAAACAUUUCUGACCAAUAUAUAUGUCUAGACUUCACUUUGUCAACUUCUGCUCAUGAAAUUUGUAGCUGUAAGUGUCAUUGUCUGGCGUUUUGAAACCAUUUAUUGUCCCAUGGAGCCUAAAAUUCCAAUGCCCUUUAGAAGGGUGGGAGGAGUUUUGCUAUCACUCACCAUUUCUCGUGUUAACAAAGUAUAUCUUGCGAUUAGAGCUUUCUUAUCGUGUUCUGAAAAUCUAUGUAGCUGGAUCACUAAAGGAAAAGAGCUCUGUUUUUGAGUUCUGUUACCACUAUCAUUGAGAGCUUUGAUUGUUCUAUAUUACCAUUUUAGGAAUCUUAAAAGGAUCUCUCCAAAAUUGUUGUUUCCAAGUCCCUAGUGGCACAGGUAGACCGGCCGAUGGGAGUUGUCUAUUUCCAGAUGACAAAGGACAGCAAUAUCAUCUUGAAUUUGUGGGCGACAAAUUUAGAAAAGCUCCUCAAUCUUGUCAAGAAAAGCUGCCACCAAAUCCACAAGGAAACUUUGGUUCAUAAGGUUGCUUUGAGAGCUUGAUAAUGUUCUUAGUUGAAUGAAUGAUCCUCUCUCCCCUUGAGCGUCCCUCGAUCUCUCACCAAAAGAGAAGCGGAAUAAUGCUGUUCAUGUAAUCAAUGAUUUGAAAAUUACAUCAAAUAUUAUAAGAUACAUUUAAAAGUCAUUUGUGCAGUCAAUAAAUGUUUUGGUCAUUAUUGGAAGAUCUCUUUUUGUCAUGUACUUACAAAACUAAUUAAAAUUUUUAAAAAGAAAAAAAAAUAGCUGCUAUGAAGCAUUGAAAACAUUUUUGUUUGGCAAAAGGAGAUAUUCAAAAUUUUCAAAACAUUUUGUUUGACCAGAUUUAACGUAAGAAAAUGUUUAUUAUAUUCAUUACGACAAGGACCAACUAAUGAUAAAAUCAAAUUUUUCAUUGAUCAAAAAGAGCAAUUGUCGAAACCGAUCAAUUCUAGUAAAAAAAUCUAUUAAACUCUUUUUAAAAUGAACUAGCCAAUCAUAUACUUGAUGAAGAAGACCUCGUCGAUUAUAGUUGACAAUAUACAGCAAAUUGGAGUAUUACCAAUUUGAAAACGCUAAUUGGUCUUCCUCUCUUUGCUGUUUUCUUAACACAACCUUGAAUUCCAUCUUCUUUUUUAUUUGUACAAGUCUUUCGUUUUCAAUUUUUUUUCCUUUUUUUAUUUGCCAUCCUACCUGUAAUCAUUUUAAACGUGGGCAUUUCGACAACGGCAACGUGGUAAGCUUUAAAGAAGAAGAGAUCAAUUUUGAAAAAAUAAUAAUAAUAAUAAUUGAAAAAUUAUCAUUCUUGUUUCUCUCUCGACUUUAAGCCAAUCGUUCCUCUUGCAUGGACUGGAGUGUUGUCAUCAACUCAUACCCCCAUCACCAUCUUCUUCAGCUCGACGUUUCUGAAUGUGGAGUGAUUUCCUCGUUCGUGGAUUUAAAAAUGUUGCAGCUGAGACGGUAAGUGCCGGCUAGAGGAAAAGCGCUCGUCCCUACCGAUCGAAGCAUCGCAAUACCAAAGGAAACAUAAUGCUCGGAUAUGUGAUGUGCGACUUCUUUACCUCGAAACAUUCUCUGUACCUUGUUUUGGAUAAUCGACGAGGGCUGAAUCGAAUCGCUUGUACAUUCGUUAUUCCAGCGCCUAGAUCGGGUUUGGCAUGGAAGUAUUCGAUCGGGGUCGGGUGCGGGUGGACCACAGAGGAUGUCGACUCUGAAGUGAAGGUGGGUGAAAGGAUCGCGUAGGUGAUCACUGAGAAGAUCAUGACUCCCGAUGUUGCAGCGGAGGUCGAGGACCUGGACUUGACUCUGAGACGUGAGGGCGGGUUUGGGUCGACCAUGUGUAAGGCCCAUGCGCUAGGUUUCGGUUGCUACUUUGUUCUCUGUAAGUUUGUUUUCAAUGGGGAUGAGGUUGUGCCUGUGAUGCACGCAGGUCUGGUAGGAGCAUUUUCUUGGUGAGAAAUUUUGUCGAACAAUUGGUGGGUAAAUAUUUGCUAAUUGCUAUGUGUUCAGCCACGCUUUUGAAGUAUUUCCUUGUGCUCUGCCUGUCUCCGUUUAACUGUGAAAUUCGGAUCCUGCUUUUUGAGUUGCCAGUCUGCUGGGGUGAGCUUUGCGGCAAGUAAUUAGUUAGUUGAUUGCUGGCUUACGUGCUAGUCCUAGAUGAUGGUAUUGAGCAACUAAAUAAGGGGAUUUUCAUUGUUUUUACAUAAACUUCUUCGUUUAGUGCCAUAAUUAUUGAAUUUGUGUGACAUUGUUGAUUUAGCAGAUGCACUAUCUUGCAAAUGAUUUUUUUUUCCAGGGUUUGACACCAUUACCUAUUCACUGUUAACUUUCCAUGGAUAAUAAUUUAUUCAAGUUGGUGAGAUUUGGAAGAGUUGCUUAAAAGAUGUGCCUCUGGAACUCUUUAAUGAAUGAAGGUUGGGGUUUAUAUUCCUGUGGAAAUUUAAUGGUGCUCAUGUGCAAACAAAGAGUGGGUAAUAAGCACAAAGUUAACCUUGAGAUAUCCUCUCUGGCAAGGUGCUUGUAUUUACUUAUGGAAGUGAAAUUAAUUAACAUCAGUGAGUAUUCAGCACCCAAGUAGUGCAAAGUGAGUUUCCAACAAUUAGCGUUGUUGAAAGAUUACUGGAUAACUUAAAGGAAGCAUUUAACCACCAUUAAUUAUCAAUAAGUAUCUCCCUGAUCCAUGAAGUCAAUGUAAGAUCACAUGAUGUUGCAUCCUAUCAAACACUAAUUGGAAGUUCUCAUUAACGAAGAACGGAAAUAACUCUUGCAGCUGAGUAGGAAAAUAAUGCACAAAGCUAUGUGGAUAAGCUGGACAUUGUGGUACUAUCUAGUAGGCAAGGCUGGUAAUAGCAAAAUACGUUGAUGUACUUUUACAAGAUGGACCCUGCCUUUGGAGUUGAAGUAAACAUGUGUGUGAGAAUUGACAAAUAGAGAUCCUUAGUCUAUGAUGACAGAGAAAAAGCAUAUUGUUUAAGUUAAGCAAUUUUAUUUUGUUUUAUCAUCUUUUCAGGGUUUAGUGAAGUCGGUAAUCGGUGCUCCACUUUGUUUUUAUGCUGGUUAGUAGAUUUGUUUUAAGAUUUGAGUUCUCUUGUAUAGGGAUAGAUUCUUUUUGUUUUAGAUGGAUAGUUAUUUCCUUGGUGCCUUACUUAUUAUACCUUUUACACGACAAUGAAACAGGGGAGAAAAGAAGUUGAGAUUGGGUGCCAGAGGAGUGAGUUAAAAUACUAAUCAACUGAAGAUGAAUGAUAAGUAUGAGUUGUACCUCUCCAUUCCAAUAAGAGUUUCUUGUGGAUUUUCUCCCUUGCAUGAACACAGCAUGUAUCAGGUUUGCUGGUGGCGAAAGGAAUAUUAAACAAGCAGGAGCCAAGAUUAUUGUGUUCAGUGGUCUACUGAUUCUUAGGGCAUGAAUUUUCGUCUUCCUAGCUCAAAGCACUCUUUGCCUUCCUCGUCAAGUGCUUGAGUCAAAAUUAUUUGAUGACACUGAUACUUGGAUAUUCAUAGCUGUUGUUUUUCCUGUAUAUAGUUACUCCCAAACUUUCUUGUAGCAAAGGAAGUAUCUUACACUCCUUUGAUAUGAGCGAAUUAGAUUGUCGAGAUUAACCGAUGUCCAGAUAUUUGCCUUUUUAUCUCCGCUUUUGGGUGACAAGCUGGUGGAAAUUUUGCUCUUCAUUAAGUGUAUUUCAUUGUUAUUUUAUGCUGAAUGCUGAUAAGUUCCUCUGGAUUAGUCAGAGCAUUAUGACUGGUUGCUAUUUAUUAGACCUGUACCAGAUUUUUACCUUCAUGAUUGUUAUUAGGAUUGCUAACUGUAUAGGAGGCAAUUAAAAAGAUGCAAGUUGGUCGCAUUGACAAUCAUUCCCAAAUUGGAUUAGGAGUAAGAUCAUUGGAGAUGUAGGAUGGGAUUCCUAAUCCCAGUCCACCUACUUUGCCUAUUUAAUUAGGACUCAACCUCAUAGUACAUCAAAAUAGGCCCCAUUUCUUGUCAUGCAUGACCAGUUGUACGUCUGAAACAAUAUCUAAAGGCUGAACCUGCUUAUUGGGGCUAACUUUGGGGAUUGAACUAUGAGGGGAUUAUAGAUAAAAUUUAGGUGUUGCCCUCAUCCUGAAUUAGAUUGGAUGGAAGAUUUAAUAGGUGGUUGUGGCAAGGCUGAAAAUACUUUUCAUGCAGACUUGGGAGAGUCCAUAUGCUUCCACCUGUAUUAAAAUUAACCUUUUAUUGCUGGAGUUGGAUGUGAGCUCUACUUUCAUGAGAGCUUUAGUUGGGGCAUAUGGGAGGUCCGCUGUGCCUCCACAACCAGCAGUGCAGCACAAUGCCAUCACCUUUGUGCUGCAACCAUCUCUUCUUGCUAUGGAAUUUUUUUGUAUUUUUUAGGUCAUAGUAUAUAGCUCAUCACCUUGUCUAUUUCUUUCACCCUCCUCUCUUCUUCNNNNNNNNNNNNNNNNNNNNNNNNNNNNNNNNNNNNNNNNNNNNNNNNNNNNNNNNNNNNNNNNNNNNNNNNNNNNNNNNNNNNNNNNNNNNNNNNNNNNNNNNNNNNNNNNNNNNNNNNNNNNNNNNNNNNNNNNNNNNNNNNNNNNNNNNNNNNNNNNNNNNNNNNNNNGCAGUGAGCAGCGCAUCUGUCUCUCCUUUCUCAAAUUGCUCAUCUUCCUCUACUCUACUCUACUUCACUUCCGCUUCUCGACUAUUUGAAAAACGAAUCUCAUUGGCAUAUCUAUAUGGGUAUUGGUUCUGGGCAAUCUCUAGAGAUGCUAGAACUCAGGCCUGGUGCUCAUGCUGUUUGCAAGUUUUUUCAAUUGGCUGGGAUCCUCAUGAUUGUUUUUGUAUUGCACCUUGCUAUUACCUCUUUAAUUCCUUUUUUUACUCUAUUUUCUUCCUAGAUGAAUAAUUUUUCUUGUUGUUAAUCAGAUAGUUCGACUGAAAGUCAUAAUUGUGCUUUAGAGAUAAUCAAGUAAUGAAUUAAUUUGAUGGUGACACUUAACUCUGUUGCUGCUGGGAAGGUGAAAAUGUGAAAUCAAACUCUAUUGCAGCUCAUGUUCAUGAGCAAUGUGUUUCGGUUUCGUAGUUUCUAGAGCUAGUUUCAUUAUGUAGCUAUAUGUCGAAAUUGAGAGAGUGCGGUUGAUAAAGAAACCGGCAAAAAGCAAAGGCAGAAGGUUUUAUAGCAGAAGCUGCUGAUUUAAUACAAGAAAUUGCAGGAGCUAGAAGUUGAAUUCUGGUGUCUUUGAUCUUGCAAUUGGUUUUUCCUUGUCCAACAUUAUGAGUGAUUUGAAUUGCUGUGGAAAAUUUUGGAGCAUUGGCAAAUACAGAGAAAAUUGCCUUUAUCCUUGAACAUGUAUGGGAUUUUUGUAUUGCUUUUAGCCAUUUAUGCUCUCUUACUAUGAUCGAUUUUUUGAUGGAUGGUUUUGCAGGUUCUUUUAAGCUUAGAUCGCCAGGACUAUGUCCAUGCACAGAUCCAGAAAAUCAGCCCCCUGGUGUUUGAUGCAGAUCCUUCCAAAGAGAAGAAAAAGCAUAAAGAAGGGGAAAGUAUUGUGAAAGAAGCGCCAGCUGACAUUCUGUCACUUCUGGAGCUGAGACGGAUAUAAUAAGAACCCACAAUAUGGUGAAUUGGUGCUUUACUUAUUUACUAUUUUUAACUAGAAUUUUGUUGCCGAUCAAGCGCUACCUGGUAUUGAUGUUUUGGUUCAAGCCAUGGUUUUAUUCAUCUGUCGCAUUCUCUUUUUCCUUUCUUUCUUUAUUGCAAACUCUGCUGUUAGAAAUGUACUUAAUGGAUUUGAACACACAUCUUACCUUGCAUUCAUGUGGUCAAUGAUGUAAUUAUUACUCUCAUUACAAUGGUUUGCUAUAUGGCGAUAGUGAGAUUCCAUCAGCGAAGGGAAACCCGGAGAAUACCAGUGAAGCUCUUUCAUAUGAGGCUUUGUCAAAUCUUCCCUGACUUUUUCAAGGCACGGCUGUUCAUUACGUGAUUUAAUUAGUCGCAGGUUCUAAGGAAAAUCUGCUGGUACUUAGUUCGGUCACCACAUGAUUGGUUGCAGUCAAGCCUUUGUAAUACUUUAGAAGCUAAAAAUGUCUCAGAAAUUCCCCAUAUCAGGUACAUCUUUGAAUUGUUUCUAGUAUUUGGUUGUACGUUUUCUUGCGAUAGGUUGAUAAUCUGCGAUAGAAUUUGGUUGGCCGUGCCUUUGUUAUUUUAACGCAGUUUGCAGUUGAAACAAUUGGUCACAAUGGAGGUUAUCCAGUUAACUGCUCUUUGGAGUAAUUUCAGAGAUAAAUUUGAGAAUGAGAAAACCAUGCUUGAAGGUGCACUUCUUGAGAAGGCAGCAGAAGAUCUUAGAUAGAGAAUACGCAAACAUGUAAUUACAGAACUUUGUCAUUUUUUUUCCUUGCUUUCUUUGUAUCAUCAUGCUGAUGCAACUUACUCUAUUUUCUGCAGAAUAUUAUUGUCGUUUUGAAGUAUUACUCGAGGAUUACCUUGAGGAAACUUGCAUAACUGUGCCUCAGCAUCCAGGUUGAUUAUGUUGAACAUUUAUUUAUUUCUCUUAUCAAUGUCAAUCUUUAUGACUGAUUACCUAGACCCCUCAUUUAACCCUGGGCAGCCUCUCUGCCCCUGAUACCUGUAGGUUAUGGUUGCUGGACUUAGAUACAAGUUCCAAAAAAGUGGAAAAGAGGUUUUGGUGCCUUGAAGCCAAGGCUUGUCUUGAGGUUGAGAAUGUUGUGCUUCUAUUUUUUUUCUAUGAAUAUUUCAGACCGAUAUAUAUGCAUACACACUAUGCUUAGUCAACUUCUCAUAAAAUUUGUCAUAGCUAUCAGUGGCAAUGCCUGGCAUUGUGAAAUCAUUUCUUGUCCCAUGGAGCCUGAAAUUCUGAUGCGCUUUAGAAGUGUGGGAGGAGUUCUGUUAUGACUCACCAUUUCCAGUGUUACAAAAGUAUAUCUCGUGAUUAGAGCUUUCUUAAUUUGCUCAGAAAUCUAUGUAGCUGAAUCACUCAACGAAAGGAACUCUGUUUUUGGGGUUCUGUUACCACUGUUGUAGAGAGCUUUAAUCAUUCAUAUGCCUCAAUCUAUUAAAUCAACACUAUCAUCUGCUAGAGAGACAGCAUAAUAGUAAUUAUACAAGCCUGUAUGAUAUUCUAUUAGCAUGACCUGUUAGUUCUAUGACCAUUUUGGGAAGCUGAAAAGCAUCUCUCCAAAAUGGAUGUUUCCAAAGCCCUAGUAGGAAAGAUAGACCUGCCGAUGGGAGUUGUCUGUUUCCAGACAACAAAGGAGCGCAAUGAUACCUUGAACUCGUGGGCCACAGAUUUGGAAAAGCUCCUUGAUCUUAUUGAGGAAAGCUGCCACCAAAUCCACAAGCAAACUAUGGUUCAUAUGGCUGCUUUGAGAGCUUGGAGAUGUUCUUAAUUGAAUGAAUGACCUCUCUUCCCUUGAGCCUCCCUCUUUCUUACCAAAAGAGAGAAGCUGAAGAGUGUGGUUUCACGUUGUCCUCUGAAGUGGGGACUAAAGAUAUCAUAGAACUAUCGUGUAGCUGUCUUAAAUUUGAUAACAUAUUUUGCACGUGGACCAGAUCUGGGCCUUGUUUUGGACUGAAAUGAUACAGAAUACACUUUCUGCAUAGGAAUAUAUUUUGGGUCUUUCAUCUUUUCUCUCCCCCCUCCUCGUAAUUGANNNNNNNNNNNNNNNNNNNNNNNNNNNNNNNNNNNNNNNNNNNNNNNNNNNNNNNNNNNNNNNNNNNNNNNNNNNNNNNNNNNNNNNNNNNNNNNNNNNNNNNNNNNNNNNNNNNNNNNNNNNNNNNNNNNNNNNNNNNNNNNNNNNNNNNNNNNNNNNNNNNNNNNNNNNNNNNNNNNNNNNNNNNNNNNNNNNNNNNNNNNNNNNNNNNNNNNNNNNNNNNNNNNNNNNNNNNNNNNNNNNNNNNNNNNNNNNNNNNNNNNNNNNNNNNNNNNNNNNNNNNNNNNNNNNNNNNNNNNNNNNNNNNNNNNNNNNNNNNNNNNNNNNNNNNNNNNNNNNNNNNNNNNNNNNNNNNNNNNNNNNNNNNNNNNNNNNNNNNNNNNNNNNNNNNNNNNNNNNNNNNNNNNNNNNNNNNNNNNNNNNNNNNNNNNNNNNNNNNNNNNNNNNNNNNNNNNNNNNNNNNNNNNNNNAGAAGCUUGAAAUAUGAGAAUAAUGUGUUGUUUACCACCUCUGUUAAGAUUGGACUAAUGGAAGUUCUCCUUUACAUAGUGAUACCAUUUCAUUUUCACUAUUGAUGCUUCCCAAGUGGCAACUUACGACGAUUUAUUCGUCUAAUUUGUUUCCCAAUUUUAUCUUCUGGCUGGCAAAAUAUAGAAACCAUCACAUUUUGCUUAUUAAUCUCGACAUUUGAUUGAUUUCAUCAAUCGGUCGUUGUCUCAAAUCCCCCUUUCUUUACAAGAGAAGAUGCUGAGGGUUUAAACAUUGGGUCUCAGAGCAAAGUGGGGCAAGGAUGACUCCUAUAGAAACAAUCAUAUGGUACCCGAACUUUUAUUUGAUUCAUGGGACAUAUUUAGUUGAUGAAUGAAAGAUUGUUUUUUUUUUUUUUUUUUUUGGGGGGGGGGGAGGUGGAAGGAAUUAGGAAUUCAAAUUGUUUGUGCUGGUAGUAGGUGUCAAAUAUUUAUCUGAUUUAACAUUGCCCAUGAUUAGAUAGUAAAUUGAUGAGCAUCACUAUUCAUACCUAAAUUUUGGUGGCCCAAUUAGUUGUUUAUUGCAUGAAAAAAAAUUAGGGAUUAAUUUUUAAUACCUAAACAAAAAUAUUAGAAUUAAAUUGCAUAACAUAUAGUUUUAGGAGCAUUUAUUAUUUGGUUUAUUUUUUUUAUUGUAUUUGCAUUGGACCGGUGAUGGAUUGAUUCAAAUUGAUGGUUCUGAGCUUUAAUUUAGCGAGUUUGUCCAGUGAUCAAAAUCAUGUGUGCCACGUUAGUAAUUUCAUAUUAUUGCCAAGAUUUGAUCAUUAAUACUCAGCAAUAAUCCCUGGGGUAGAUGUGCGUACGUGCAUUUUGGAAAAUUCGGUCAAGAUUAUGGAACGUGAGAAGAGAAGUUGUGGAAGGUGUGGAGCCCAAUAGAGAGGGAGGCGAUUUCUCUGGAGGUCAGCAGCAAGCUCUGGCACUCGUCCAAGCCACGCCUCGUGCCCGACGCGGCGCUGCCCGUCUCCUUGCCGCUGCAGUUCAUCAUCUAAUUUCGCCCUAGUCUGAUCUGGGGAAUUCCCGACAACGAUGAAGCACCCCUCAGCGAGUCCUUUGCAUGCCACAGCAGCCCCCGUGGUCUCUUGAUUAAUUCUUUGCAGGUUCCCGGCGAAAUGACAAGCACUUGUCUAGCCCUUUGAGCGAACUACUGGCCAGGCCACCACGCUUCUGCUGUUGUCCCGCUUCUUUAAACCUGACACCGCCGCCUGCCGUUUUGUCCGUCAUGCUCGACUGUUCUUUCACAGGCUGUCCAGAACAAACCAACGCCCCUGCAUCAAUCCAAGCGAGUGCAAGACGGCUCCUGUAACGAUGAAUCUUCAUCAACAUUAGCGGAUUUAAUGAUGCUUUAUGAAUAACGCUUUUUAUAGGUUCCAGCUUUGGUGACAUAUCAACCCAGCAAAUCUCUGAGAAGCUUUGCAGCCCCUUAGCCGUGUUCACUCAAGUUCUCCGUAGAAGUGUGCUUUCGUGAUCUAGGAAGUGAGUGAGUCAUAGUGUUGUAAAAGGUACACGUUUUAUAGAAUCAUCUACUGAGCUUUAUGUAAGAGUAGCAUCCUCUACAGACGGUAAAAUCUCGAGGAUUACUCAGCCUUGUUGUGGGAGGACUAGGUGAAGUGGAAGUUCGAUUCAGUACAAAUCUGUUUUGCAUCUCUUCAAUCUCUCUUAAUUCCUUUAUUGUCAUUUGGAUACAAGGUACUGCAUCUGCGUGAUAGUUUUCCUCCUAUAGCAAUACAUGAUCCACGUUCUUCUUGAAAAAAAAAAUUAAUUUUCUUAAAACAACCAAUUCACUCUCUUCUUAUACCAAGACACUAUUGUACAAGUUUUCCAUAAAAAAGUUUCAAUUUUCUUAAAAUAUUCAAUUCACCCUCUCUCAACUGUUGCAUUAAUCAUUUCAUUAAUCUCUUUAUACUCUAUUUGUGUUUGUUAAUAAGAGCAAUGAAAAACCUAUCUCACUUACCAAAAUGAAUCUCUUAAAUAAUCCUUUAUGGAUGACCAUUUUAGUUAGUGGGAAAUUACUAAAAUCACAAUAUCCUAUUCUUCUUGCCUAAUUAAAGGGGACUCACAUACCAUCAUUGACAUUUAAUGGCAUUAGAAUUUAAUAAUUAUCUCCUCUAACAUUAUAAAGUACAAUGAAAAAAAAAAUUGAGGAAACCUCUUUGAAGCUUCUUGUAGUUGUAGCUACCGAUUGAAAAGAACAAUGCCUGUAGCUUAAAGAAAAGCUUCAACCUUCAUAAUGUUAGGACAGAUUUUGGUUAACAUGGAAAUGCUUUAAUUAAAUAGUGAAUUUGUGUUCCAAAGAAUCCAAUCUCACAUCAUCAAAAAAAUGGAAAUUUGAUCGGGCUGAACCUAGCUCUGGAGAAUCAAUAGGGUAGAGAGCCGGAAAAUAUAAGCUGACCGCUUAUAUAAAAUAGUCGGGCACAAGGUGCAAUUGCUUGAUUACUUGAAGGCCCAUUAAACAUCACAUUCCUAUUCCCAUUCAGAACAGUUUCAAAUAUGAAAAUAUCCCUUCUCAACCAACUACGCAAACUCUUAAAAGGAUUGAGCUUCCAAUUUAUGUUGACGUAAUUAAUAUGAGGCCCAAAAUAUAUUUAACCUUUAGGUCACCUUCUAUAAAGUUGGACAAACCAGACAUUUUUCAAAUAUUAUUCUAUCGCAUUGGUCAAAAUGAACAAUUUUCUUUUAUUAGAGAGAUGUGCAUAUAUCUUUGGUUUUCUUUCGUAUUCCAAUUUCAAAUCCGCUCAAGGUGCACAACCCAUGGAAGGUCCAGAAGCAGCGUAAGAUGCUCUCAUUUUAUCAUCUUUUUUUUUUUUUUUGAAUAAUUUCUACCGAGAAGAAGGUAGAAUUAAGGUUCAUUUGUAGUCAUCAAUCCAUGGAAAUCGUGCAUCCACUUCUAGCAGAAUUUGUGUCAGUGUUGAUUUUAGGGUUAAUACCCUGAAAAACUCCAAACUAGUACACCUGUGAUAAAUUUACCCUAUACUAUUUUUUUGACAAUGAAAAACGCCAAACCGAUACACAUGUGACAAAUUUACCCAAAAAACUCUAAAUUGAUACAUUUAUGAUAAAUUUACCCCAAACUAAUUUAUUUGACCGCAAAAAACCCCAAACUAGUAAAUUUGUGAUAAAUAUACCAUCCACUAAAUUGGAUUAAUACCACAAAAAAAUCACAAAAAUUGUAAAAUGUGACAAACGGAGUGUAAAAUCCCAAAUUGAUAUAUCAGUCAACUAUCACAUAUCAUUUAACUUAAUGAUUUGAUAGUAAAAUUUAACAAAAACCGACAUAUGGAAAAUUUGUCACAAGUGCACUAGUUUGAGGUAAAUUUGUCAAAGGAAUAUAAGUUUAUGGUUUUUGGUGGUCAAAAAAAUAGUUUGGGGUUUUUUAGGAUAUUAACCAUUGAUUUUAUUCGUCUUCCCGAAAUAUUUAGUUGUUGAUUUUCUUUUGUGGGUCUGAUCUCAUAGCUUUCGUACAUUCUUGAAUGUCGGAAAAUCAUAAUAACAUUUUGGAUCCCACAUCCAUAAAACCAAAUAAUGUGAGCACAGCAUGGAGGUGAUGAGGGUUUCGAGGAAGCUCGCUCGAAAACCUGCGGGAAGUUUCUUGCAUCUUAUGGGAGAAAAUUCAUGGUCACUUCAUGACCCUUUCUGGUGCAAUUUGCCAAGUGAUUUUCGUGAAAAAUGUCAUGAAAUUGAAAUUGAAAUUAGCUAGAUGUCUAACAUUUGAAAAUAAGUAGCACUUGAAUAGAUCGGUUAUCAUCCAAAAAAAAAAUCGCAUUCAUUUCGUCAUAUAAAUAAGCAAUGCAAGAUAAUAAUUUCAUUAGUAGGAUUUGUGCAACCACAUGCAUUCAAUUUAACAAUCAAUGUUUAGGUAAUGACCUAUAUUCGAUUUUUAUUUUUCGCAAACAUUUCCAUUCCAUAAAUGAAGUGAUAUUCUAUUAGUUCUUGUGAACAAUUAUCUAGAUAUAAUUGCAAUCUCUUUAUGUAAAAACCCUCUUUUGAAAAUCUUAAAGGUUUAUUGGUUGAUGUAGGACAAGUUGCGAAUAGUUUCUUAGAAUGAAUCGAUCAACAAAUGAAUAGAGUUUAGCACAGCAUUCAUCAAAGUGAAUAGAUAAAGGUCGGUCCGCUACAAGCAAGAGCUCAGGACAAUCUAGCGUAAAUUAUGUGGAUAGGGAUUUUUCAUAGCAAUGCCACGGGUUUUAAUUAUAGAUACCGGUGAAGAGCAGAUGCUGCUGAAAAUGCAUUUGUCCAAGUCUUUAAGUUAGCUUUGGAACUGUUCUUGUCAAUCCUUCACGACCUUUAUUGAAAUUCACUACUCCAUUCCCUUCCCUGUUUAGUCACGCCAAUUUUCCCAAACUACUUUACCCUUCUGUUUUAGCAUGCAAUAACGUAAUCGUGCUGUCCUGCUCACUUCACCUUCCCAUUACACUUCCCCGAUGAUUCCAUUUAUUAAUGGAAAAAGGAGUCAAGUCAAUCAAAGCACCUGUGUAGGGGGCACGCACCUUCCGCAUAAUGCUAAUGAAAUUAUGCGUGCAAUAACCCACCUACAGUGAUUGCCCUUUGCUUUUUAUUUUCUAAUUGUUCUAUUAAUAGAAAAAGCAAGUCAAAUUGAAGUCAAGUCAUUGCUUUCGAAAAAGAGCGCCUUCGUAGGCUUUACGCCCCUCCCAAGCAAUCCCGUGGAAAUUAUACGUGCAAUAAUUGCCCGCAUAGUGUUGUGAUGUCAUUUCUCUCUUAACUUCAUCAUCUUUUUUUCUUUUUUCUUUUUAAUAUUCUAUUCAUCUUCCGAAAAUACUUGGGCGCACAUCCAUGUUUCCCAUCAUAUCAACACUUGGUUACGAUAAUACAUCAUGAUGUCAUAAAACAAUUUCAUUUUACAUUAUAUUUUUAUUCUUAAUUAUUAUGACAUAUCAUAAUACAGUAUGUUGCAAUAUACGUACCAUAUAUUCUCAUAUCUUUCACUUUUUGGGACAAUCUAGUAGUGGCUGUAAACCUAACAAUUUUAUAUGCUCAAUUGAUAGUUGACACUAACAAAAUUUUGAUUGAACAGUUGAUGACACAAAUUAAAUAGACCGAUGACAUUGAAACACUUGCAUUGGAUGGAUGACAGGGGAUAUGGCAUGAUCGAUGUGCGAAAACACGGAUUCAAAAAACGGCCCCAUCUUCCUCAUAGUUUUUAGAGGCCCUAGAAUCGAUAUUUCUUUCUUUCUAUUUUCUGAAUUUUUGCCCCCACGAUUCUGAUGGCAUGAAAAGAAAAAGCAACCAACGGCAUGACUUUCGGUGCACAAUAGUCUUGUUAAUUUUCAGCCAAAAAAAAAUCUUAUUAAUUUCAACCAUUGAAGUUAUAAUCAAUAUGAGAUUCACAUAAUUGGCUCUUCUAAAUGAAUACUUGAAGAGCAAUUUUUACUUAUAUGCAAGAAAAUAAUUUAUUUUUUUUAUAUACUAAUUAGACAUAAUUAGUAUUUUCAUACGUGCUCAUGCCUUUAGAUUACAACAAAAAUCAUCGUCAUUCAUGGCUAAUUCUUUCCAACUUGUCUUGUUACAGUUCCGUCACCACAGAAUAGCCUUAUGAUUUCUUCCUUGGGAAUUUCGUACUCAGAGAAAAUAGAUUAUUUUCUUUUUUAUCCAGUAAUACUUAUUUGGGCCCACUCCGACAGGACACUUUCGUGAGACCGGUCUAUUAGGAAUCGGUCUUGUGGAUUUCGAAAGAAUUUUUUUUAUUUUUUUUAUUUGGAAGCAUUCUUGAAAAUGAGACGAAAUUAUUUAUAUUUCUUUUGAGUAUGUUCUCCUUAAAUUGUAGUCAUUUUUUGAUUGAUGGUAAACAAUUGGAUAAAGAGAGCAUGUAAUUACAAUUGCAAAAUAAAUGUUUUUUUUUUUUUUUUACGGAAAACAACAUAUAUAUUUAACAUAAUGGGACCUUACACCCUGAAGAUAAAGCAUCCGCAUAAACUAAGUCCAUCAGUACAAUAGAGGAGAAAUGAUCCAGUUGAGGACCGAAUUAGAGGAUUGGGCUUUCGCAGCCCAGUCGGCCACUAGGUUUGUCUCUCGUCGACAGUGACGCAGAUGGAGAUGAGGAAGCUGGAAAGCCAAAAGAAGGUCUCCUCUAUCACAGGUCAAAGCUCCCAUGGCGGCGAUCGUGUACCGUGCACGACUUCGACAAGCUGAAGGUAGUCAGAAUCGAUUUCCAGUCUAGCAUCUUGAAGCCCUUGCUGGUGCAGAUGUUGAAGGGUGAGACUGAGCGCUUGGAUUUCUGUUUCAAAGGCGGAUUUCGCUGGAAAACGUCGCGAAAAAACAUCAAUAAGUCGGCCUCGAUAAUCCCUGCAAAUACAAGCCAUGGAACCAUUGGGGUUACCCGGCUUAUAACUCCCAUCGAUAUUACAUUUCAGGCUACCCAUUGCCAGAGGUUGCCAAAGCUGAUCUGGAUUGAGAAAAGCAAGUCCAGAUCUUGGUUUGGAUGCAACAACAUAGAGCUUGUAGGAUUUGGUUAGAGCCAUAGCCGUGUCGACAACAAGGGAAAGGUUCGGUUUCUGGUUACAAAAGACAAAAUCAUUCCUCAUCCGCCAGAUCUGCCAAAGUAUAUUUGCAACAACUUCUAAUCCAGGUGAGUGGUUAGGUAAAAUCACCUUUUCUAUUAACCAAGAGUCUAUACUGGUAGCUGUAAGAGAUGAGGACAAUAAAUUGAUCUGCGGAUUGGACCAAAUAGCUCGAGUCCAAGAACAUUUUAGAAAAAUGUGUUCAAUGGUUUUCAAGUAGAGGUUGCUUACAGAGAUGGCAUGACGGAUCAGUAAUGAUAUGACGGUGAAACAAAUUAUCUCGGGUUGCGAGGGCAUUGUGGUAGACCGACGGGAGAAAAGUGUGGAGUUUUGGGGCAGUCUUCAUCGCCCAGAUCCGUUGCUAGAGACCGUGCGAAUUCCGGUAAGAUGUCGAGACACUCUGACUAUGUUGAUUGCUGCUUUAUUGUAAAUUGCAUGAUAGUUACUUUUUACAGUGUGCUUACCAGUAGUCGUGAUUGACCAAACUAAUUUGUCUUUUGAGUAAAGAGGUCUAAUUGGUAUGGUAAGAAUUUCUGUGGCGACUUGUGCUUCAAAGAAUCUUUGAAUCACUGAUGUAUUCCAGUCGUGGUGAGUCUAGGCAAUAAGAUCUACCACCAUAACUGGGUUCUUCUCUAGCCGUAGGUCCAUAGAUAAUUCCCAUCAGUAGCCAACGAUCUCCAUGAACUCGAAUAUGAUUGCCAUUACCAAUAGACCAGCAAAGUUCUGGUAAAAGAGCAGCUCUGCCUCUAAGAAGGCUUUGCCAUCCCCAAGAUGGUCGAGUUCCUCUAACGGCCGAUAAAAAAUUUGUCGAGUGAAAAUACAAACCCUUAAAAAGAGCUCCCCAUAAAGAGUCAGGAUGAUUUAGCAAUCACCAAGCCUAUUUUCCCAGCAGUGCUUUAUUCAAAGUAAUAAGGUCUUGGAAUCCCAACCCUCCUUGCAUCUUACUUUCUUUCAAAACAUCCCAUUUUUUCCAAUGCACACCUCCCUUAUUCUAAUUAGUUCUCCACCAAAAUCGGGCAAUACAUUUUUCAAUAGAUGAACAAACAGAAAUAGGUAACUGAAAAAUAGAUAUCGCGUACUACUGAAUAGCCUGAACAACAGAUUUAAUAAGGAUUUCCUUACCCCCUUAGAAAUGAAUUUCUCUUUCCAGCCCUCAAGUUUGGCAGUAACUCUUCCUAUUAUCCAAGAGAACACUUCCUUCUUUGAUCUUUCCCAAUCUGAUGGCAGCCCCAAAUAUUUUCCAGUCCUUUGCAAAACUAGAAUACGAAGUUCCGCAGCCAUAUUAUGCUGUAAAGAGAUUAGACAGUUUUUGGUAAAGGUUAGCCCUGAUUUGUUGCAAUUAAUCAACUGUCCUAUGGCCACACAAUACAAAUUUAAAACGUUGGCUAAGUUCUAGCAUUCCGAGAUAGUACCAUCUAAGAACAAAAUUGCAUCGUCAGCAAAAAAUAAAUGUGACAGGGUAGGACACCAUCUGUUCAACCGAAGGCCUUUGAUAUGUCCUAUACUAACAGCUUGAGUAAUAAGAGUUGAUAAAACAUUAGCCAAGAGAAUAAAAAGAUAUGGUAAUAAGGGAUCAACCUAUCUAAGGCCGCGAGAGGGGUAGAAAUAAGGUAACUGGCAAAAAAAGAUAUACUUAUAUAUGAAAAUGAGAAGCUUAGGGUAUUCUUAUACCUACUCUCUAUUCCUUGAAACUCACAUAUAUUUUAAACAAAAGAAAAUAAGUAUCUAUGGGGUCCGGAAUAAUAAUGGAAUUGAACAUUAUUUUCUAACUCUUUUUAUGUAACUACUGGCUAUUUUAAAAAUAUUCAUUGUACAAAACGACUGCAAGACGAUUAUGACAUGGAGAAUGAUUAGCUCCUAGGAGUAAGCAAAAGCAACUGGGAUUUUUGUGUCUUCUGGAUGAGUACUAAAAGAUCUCUCUUGAAGCUAUUUCUCAAAUUAGACUUCUCUAUGCCACACCAUACUUUUAAGAUUGCAUAGUCAUCACACCUUUAUCCCAAUCACAUCCGCAUCUCUCCUCAGAAUUAAUUUUUAACAUUUUGUAUAACCUUUCUUUUUUUAUGAACCUAUCACAAAUAAUUAUUGAUUUGCACACAUUAAACCGAGUUUUAAUUUAUUGACUUCUUACUCUACAAAGUUAAUAUAUUAUUGACUUCGAAUUCAGAAUUUGGAUGGCAAUAUUUUGAAGCACAGUUUAUGAAUGUGGAAUCAUUAAUUUUGAAUCAAUAAAUGGCUAAUAAAUGUAUAUUGAAAGUCUGUUUAAAUGCAUUUAUUUCUUUAUCGGCAAGAUUGCUCUUAAAAUAUCAAUCAUACUUAAUGCAUGACUAUAAUAAAAUUAACAGUCGAAAAACGGAAGAAAUGCAGGCCCCACCUCGAGAAAACUAGCCUAACAAGUCACUAUCAAGAAACUCCAUUUUAGAUAUAUAUGGUGUUAAUAGAAAAAUAUUAAUGACAAUUUUUUUUUUUUUUGCUCUGAUUACAUCCUGGAUUUCAAUUUUUUUUGCCCAAUUAUUAAAAGCGUUAUUGGAGAAAACAAAUACACUACACAAUGAGAAAAUUGCAUUUCAUGUUCUUUCCUAUAAUAUCUUUUGCAUUCUCGAAACUUGUAUCGCUGCAUCCCAGCAAAAGUAGAGAGCUCAUCUUUUCUGGGGAUUUGAAUAGCAGCAUACUAUAAAUUGGGAUUUAGUAUAGGAAAGGAUGUGUAUAUAGUAACUUUUGCAUUUGAUUGGCCAUUUAAAAAUUUAAGUAGAAAGAUAGGAAAAAGUAUAAAAUCGAGGCUUCGAGCAUGACAUGACAAUUAUUUUCUAGGAGUCUAUUAUUAUCAUGAAAAAAUAAUUUUGGUAUACCUAUACCUUAGAGCAUGACAUGAAGGAUUUCAUGAAUUAGGCAAGUUUGGUUUCAAGUACGUAGAGUGUCAUAAGUCCAUGACAAAAACCCGCGUUCUCCAUUUUGGUUGUGUUUUAUUAGAUGAAUAAAGGCUGUUGUAAUUUCUUCUCUUGGUCAAUUAAAUGAAGCCAGAUUUUAAUAAUUUGCUGUUGCCUGCUUGCUCCUAUUCGAAUUUGCCCCUUCGAGAAGGACUCAAAUGUAACACUUUUGAGUUUUGCCCUUUUGCACAAACCAACCUGAAUUAAUAUUCAAUGAAGGCAAUUUCCCUGUUCAUAACGCCAAUCUAAAUUUAUACAAUAUUCCUGCAGUUACGAGGAACGUACUAUAAUCCGAAUUAGUUAGCAUAUGUUAAGAAUUUAAUCAACUUGAGGCCUUAUUCGGGUAGACAGUCUUAUGGGAAGAAGGCAAGGCCGCCCUGCAUUCAGAAGGCGCUAACUAGAUUGUAGGAUGUCAACUUUUUCUGAUUUUUCGUUGGAACAAGCAGUCAGCGUUUUGAGAAACACUUCACUUGGCUAGUGGAUUUAAUGGGAACAACCUCUUCAUUCUUCGUACGAAAAGCGGGAUCCGUUUUCUCCCUCUUGUUUUCUGGACAUGAAUGACGGUCAUGAGGUUUUCCGUUUUGCCAGUAUAAUUUAUAGAUACAUUUCUUGGUUUUAAUUGCUCUCCUAGAUAGAUGAUAUACUUUCCUGCGGACCUUACUUAACCCACUUUCCGUUCACUCUCUUCGUCGAUUUCCACAUUUAAGCAUGUAUUGAAGGCUGACUUCUUACAUCCCCUCUUAUACGGUUGGAUUUGGAAGAGGCACAUCUACUUAUGUUAGGAGCUUGCGAGAGAUUGCAGGUCAUUGAAUGCAUACCAUGAUGCUUCAACUGCUGCUAGAUGACUUAACUUGUCGAGGAUGAAAAAGACCGUGGAAAGUGGUUCAGGAUGGCAAAAGUGCAAUCGCUUUUAGAUUCAAUCAAGCCCAUUCUCAGCUGAUUAGCCAUGAUACAUGUUUGUUUUGUUCUAUUGGAUUAUAUUGUCCUUCAAGGCAGGAUAUGUUACAAAUGCUACUGUCAAGAGAAUGGCUUGUCAUGCUAAUAUUAAGGGGCUAUUCAACUAUCAAUAAUCGCAUUCACAUCUAUACAAGCACGGGGUACUGCUCAGGGAAUGUCCCACUCUCCCUUCACGUGAUGCACGAGUUUUGCUGACCGAACAUAUGUGACAAUCUUUGCCAGCCCAAUUCCAACCUGUCCACUCGUCGGCCGAAAGAAAGAACCCGGUCAACUAUUGGGCAUCACAGCAUGAUCGCACGGCUUGUAAUGAUGUCUUACUUGACCAUGCAAAAGUGGUUGUGAGAUCGUUAUGGUCUAUAAUAAGGCAACUCUAAAUUACUUGACUCACUUUGCUCUUGCUUUUUGAGAGGAAACCUUUGAAAACUCUUUUAACCAAGACCGUUAUGCUUCCUUCAAUUCACGUCUCAUAGUCUUAAGCCGCAUGCCGUUUUUCAGGUGUAUUCUGCAUAAUUUUAGUGUGAUUUUGUGUUCCCAGGCAUAAGAAAUUCUUCUAUUUAGUAUCUAACAAGACACAAGGGCAAAACGUAUAUUUAUGCUUUGUCUGGGAAGGAGGGGAAGAGGAGCAAAAUGAAGUAAAUUUUGUAACCUUUACGAGAAGAAGUGGGAGGAAAUUCAUAAUUUUUCUCUCUUCCUUUACUCGAUGUAUCCAAGAAAAGCAGCUUUUCCUUUAUCAUGAAGGUGCUUGCUUGCUAAAUAGACCACAAGCAUAGGGUAAAUCAUGCAUUGUUGCUGCCAUAGGGGUCCUUACCAAUUGACAUAAACUAAACGUGAAUUUCAUUUUUCAAGUGCGUAGAACUCCACUUGACUUCCAGUUGAUGCACAUCGGCCAUUAUCCACAAGAUGCUCUGAUGAACAAUCAAUGUGUCCAUUCAUGUGGCAAAACGUACUAUGGAGACAGACAUAUGAAGUUGAUCCUUGGAAGGCGGAGCUGUCGCGCAACCUAACAACUCAGUCGUUCGGAUCCUCCUCCUCCAGCUUGUUCUGUCUAUAUGUUUUAAGAGGAGGAGGAUUUGACGGCACGAAGGAGUUUGUAGACCAACUAAUGGACUAGUUUAAGAAAGAAAAGAAUUCUACUGCGCAGUUUGCUUGGAGACUGAAAGGAAUAAUAAGGAAGAGGGGUACCCAUGGCCAUGUGACCGUCAAGUUUCCAUUAAGUACAUAUUUGAAGUGCUUGACAUUGUGGGCCCGAGUUUUUUUAUUUUGUCGUGGAUUGUCUUUUGCGGUUCUGAGCCGACAGCUUUUGUAUUCUCUUGAACUUUGGAGAAUCAUAUUCACAUUUAGGUCCCCACAUUCAUAUGACAGGAUAAGGCAAGCACAGCACCUUUCGGUGGAUGAGGUGAUGAGGGUUUGGAGGAAACUCAAUCGAAAGCCCUUGGGAAGCAUCUUUGUGGGAGCAAAUUCAAGGUUAAUUCAUUGUUAAAUUAUAUCUCGAGUUUAAGUAUUUGCAAAACGCGAUUCGCUUGAAUAGAUAUGUUAUCAUCCAAAAUAAAACCCAAUGUUUAUUUCAUUAUUUAAAUAGGCAAUGCGAGAUAAUAGUUUCAUUAGCGGGAUUUAGGUAAUGGCCCAAUUUCGAUUUCAUUUUUAGCAAGCUGUUCCAUUCCAUAUAUGAAGUGAUAUUGUAUUUGUUCAUGUAAACGGUUAUCUAGAUAUAGUUUCAAUCUCUUUAUGUAAAAACCCUUUUUUGAAAAUCUCAAAAGUUUAUUGGUUGACGUAGGACAAGUUGCCAAUAGUUUCCUAAAAUGAAUAGAGUUUAGCACAACAUUUAUCAAAGUGAAUAGAUAAAGGUCGGCCGCUACGAAUGAGAGCUACGGACAAUCUAGCAUAAAUCAUGUUGACAAGGAUUUUUCAUAGGAGUGCCACGGGGUUUCAUUACAAAUACCGGUGAUGAGCAGAUGUUGAAACUGCAUUUGUCCAGUCCUUUAAGUUAGCUUUGAAACUGUUCUUGUCAAUCCUCCAGAACCUCUACCGAAAUUCACUACUCAAUUCCAAAAAUUCUCUGCCCAGCCACACCAAUUUUCCCAAAUUCCUCGCAUAGCUUGUGCUUCACACUACUUUACCAUUCCGUUUUAGCAUGCGGCAACGUGGUGUCCUCCUCACUUCACCUUCCCAUUAUAUUUCCCUAAAGACUCCAUUUAUUAAUGGAAAAGCAAGUCAAGUCAAGCUGUACUUGAUUCCAAAGUUCAAUCAAAGCACCUGUGCUGGUGGCGUGCACCUUCCGCAGGGUGCUAACGAAAUUACGCGUUCAAGCGCGCAUAGUAGAAAAAGCAAGGACUAGGAGCAUCUUUAUUGCAAUUGGGUUUUCUUUUCCACCUUUUUGUUAAAAUAAAAAGCAAGUAAAGUCAAGAAGCACCUGCAGAGGUUCCCCGCAACUUCCUCAUACUGCUAUGAAUAUUACGCGUGCAAUGACUCAGCAUUCUUGGAGCACUCUGCAAUCAGUAUUCUUCAAGCAUGAAGCUUAAUACUGUGCAAAAGAAAAAUGCACUUUGGUGGAGAAGCCAUUGGCUGAAAAUGUCAACAUGAAAUAAAAAGCUAAACACCAAAUGAAAUAAAAAAGUAAUUGAUAUUCACUAAAUAAUUAGUCGACGGUGCAGAGAACCCAUUGGCCAAGAAUUUUUAAAUGUAACACCGAAUGUAUAAACCCACAAUUCCACCAACUCGAGAAGAGCCAACUAUAAUGCCUUGUAGGUCUAUGAAAAAGAAUAAAGAAGAUCAGCGGAAUCAACUCAUGUACUUAAUUAGAUGGAUUUAACAUACAUUGAAGCUCAAUUAGUUGUUGAUUAUGCAAACAAAAUCAUCAUAAUUUUCUAACUUGCCCAAAUAAGGACAAAAAAAAAGAAAGAAAACCUCUCUUAUUUACUAUCAAUCGACUAUCAGUUGCCUCGAUAAUUCCCAUAUACUGUACAUUCUCCUGUCAUUAUUAAUAUAUCAAAUGCCCGAAUAUGCUUGUAGCUCCAUCCAAAUCUGGAAACAGAGUCUCACCCAAAUCCAGUCUUUCGUAGAAAGGGUGCACUAAUCUUCGGCCGGCCCCACUCCGAGCAUCAGCAUUGCUCGCUGCUUUUCUUUCCAAUUCUUCGUUUACUUGGAAAAAGCAAGUCAAGUCAAGUCAAGGUGCACUUGCAUAGGUCAAGGUGCACUUGGAUAGGUAGCUUCAAUACACCUUCUGCAUAAUGUUGCGGAAAUUAUGCCAGCAAUGGUUGCCCUUUGCUUUUUAUUUUCUAAUUGUUUUAAUAAGUAGAAAAACAAGUCAAGUUGAACUCGUGCUCAUUUUAGAGAAAAAAAAGCACCCGCAUAUCCUCUAUGCCCCUUCCACGCAAUACCGUGGAAAUUAUGCAUGCGAUAAUUACGCUUUUCGUGCAGCAUGCAUCGCAAUCGCAGCAGUUCGAUUAGUUGGAGAUUCUUGGACCGUUGGAUGGCAAGAACGCAGCAUUGUUCAAGCACGCAUAAUAGAGAGUGUUGUGAUGCCAUUUCUCUGCCUUGCUGACACUAGAUGUGUUCGAAGUUGACUAGUUUUGAUAUUUCUCUCAGCUCUUGAAAUGUAUGUGAGUAAUACAGCAAGAAGCUUGAAAUAUGGAGGAUGAUGUUUUUCUUCAAGUACUCUUAUCAAAUUUCAGAUUGGCUGGAAGUUCUCAAUACAUGGUCUCUUCCCAUUUUCAAUUUACUAUUAGUUCCAAGUCACAACCUAAGAUUUUUUCUUUGUCUAAUUUAUCUUCGCUUUUAUCUUCUAGUUGGUGAAGCAUAGAAACCAUCAUAUUUCCUAUCAAUCUCGAUAUUUGAUUGAUUUCAUCAAUCAUUUAUCAUUUAAAAUCCCUUCUCCUUAUCGUGUCAUAGAGUGAAAUGGGAAAUGAGUGAUUCCUAUGAAAACCAUUGAAUAGUUCUUGAACUUUAAUUCGUUUCAUGAAACAUAUUUGAAUGGAAUGACAAAAAUAUGGUUCACUUCUUAAGUUUUCGAUUAUACUUUAAUGGAGAUCUCCAAGUCUAGUAAGUAUCAUAUGUAUUGUGACCCUCGUGGAAGUAUGAGAAGCAACUUGAGUGAAAAGUCAUCAUCUCUUCUUCACUUCAAAAGCUAUUUACUUCAUUGAUAUCGGUGUGUAGAGCUUUAGAUACUUCAUUUCUUAUAUUAAGUGUACAAAAAGGUCUAUGUUGAAUACAAAAGUCUGAAAUUUACGUCAACUCAAAUAAUAUAAAAGAGAAUAUGCACAAAUAUGAAUUAAAUGAUUAGGAACGUCAUAAUUAUACACCUGAGUUGAAAGAAUGUUUGUACCUAUAAGUAAAGAAGUGAGUACAUGCUCUUAGGAGGUUUUAUAAGCUAAGCUGGUUGUCAGAGCAGCAAAAGUAGGCUAAUAUUAUAUAGCUAUAAUACACUAGGUGUCAAUGUAAUCAUUCCUUGUUGUCGUGUUUAAUGCAAUUCCUCUCCAUUUAAUACCUUCAGUUUUUCAAAUCACAUCUUCUAAUGCUAAAUAAGCUAAUAGUGAAUCCUCCUUUAUUGUGCUGCAAAAAAUUGUAUUUUGGUGAAGAACAUGUUGGCAGAGACUGGCAACAUGAAAUAAAAAGCCUGACAAAAGAUGAUCAUGAAAGGGGAAAAAAAAGUAUUACUGAAUUACCAUUCAAAUACGGAGAGUUGUUAGCUUAGAAUUUAUUAACGCAAAACCAAAAGAAUAAAAUUUAUGUAAUAUGUUGAAAACUAUUAAUUUAAACGGAGAGAUAAAAGUGGCUUGGAUGGAGGAUAACGAUUUGAUAAUUUUCAAGCAAAAAGUAGAAUGGAGAAAUCUAGUUUAACAAAAUUAUUUUGAAAAAUAUUUAUUUUAAAGUUACUUUUCUAGACAAAUAAAAAGGGAAAAGCCUCCUGCAGACUUUUAAUAACAAAAUCCUGUAUAAUCCCCCAAUUUAUACGCUCUUGUCUGACUCAUGUAAAUUAGCAGUAUCUAAGAGAAUGAAAGCAAGUCAAGUCAAGUCAAGUCAAGCCAGUGCUGGAUCUCUCAAAUUUCAUUGAAAGCGCGUAGACAGGUUCGAAGCACCUUCCCAGUAAUAUGGUGUGAAUCGUGGAGAUCGCGGCAGGAGCAUGUGAGUGUUGCUCGUCAGUUCUCUUUUCCACUUUUUCUUAUUAAUAUAAAAAGCAAGUCAAGUCACGAUGCUGCUGAGUAUUGCGUGUCUCCAAGUCAACGAUGCUACUUCGACCAAAAAAAGAAAGAAAAAGUCAUGAUGCCGCGGAAAUUACGCGUGCAAUGAUUAUUCUUUCCGUGGCAUGGCUCACAGCGGUUCGAUUAGCAUGGAGAGCUUUGGACCGUUGGAUGGCAAGAACUCGAUUGUUCGAGCACGCAUAUAAAAGAAUUUCGCGUGUUGGUAAAUCCUACUUCAAAGGCUGAAAAUCGGUGGAGAUACCAGGGUCGUGUUGUUUGAGCACUCCUCAGGUAGUCAACCGACUCCUUUCUCUUUUCUGUUUCCUACUUUGAUUGCUCCAUUUUCUUCUGAGUAAGCAAGAGGCGUGAGAGUUCUUUUAUUUUCGUUUGAAUUAACUGAGUCAUGAAAGACAUUUGUGCGAUUCGCAGAUCUGGACCGUGAAGCCUGGCUUUCUUUUAAGGCUCUGCUUGAUCAAUCUCUUAUUUUAUAACAGAAUAAGAAUCUCGUUGGCCAAUCACUCCAUGAUGUCCAUCGAAUCAAGAAAAAGGUAAAUGGUCUUUCCGUUCUCUUCCUUUCUCUCCAAUUCCUUUCGUUUCUUUUCACGUCAUUUCCCUCUCAACUUAAAUUGCCAAUUGAAUUGUAAAAGAGAAGAACCCACUCACUCAGAAGAUCCGAAUUCCAGGGCGUCUUCCUCAUCGAAUGCUCCGCAUGGAGGAGAUCAUGAAGAGGGAGACAAACGACCAAGAGGGAAUGCCUACGAAGUGUUCUUGAGCUUUAGUGGGAUAGACACACGCAAAAGUUUCACCGAUUAUCUCUAUACUAGUCUUAUCGAUGCAGGAAUUCACGUGUUCAGAGAUGACAAUGAGCUCCGUGUUGGUGAGGAGAUUGGUCCGGAGCUUCUCUGCAGCAUUACGCAGUCCACAAUCUCUAUCCCAAUUAUUUCCGAGAAUUACGUUUUCAGCAAAUGGUGCCUUCUUGAGUUGGUUCAGAUGUUAAAGUGCAAGAGGAGUAAUGGGCAAAAAGUGUUGCCCAUAUUUUACAAAGUGGAACCCCACCAAGUGCGACAUCCCACGGGGAGAUUGAGAGAAGCUAUCGAUGCACAUAAACAGAAUAUGGAGGAAAUGGUUGUGAAGGAAUGGGAAGAAGCACUCAAAGAAGUUAGCACCUUGAAAGGAUGGGAAUCGGAGAAAAUUGAUAAUGGGUACCUUAUUCUCCAACAAAACAUUGUUUAAUUAUUCAUAAUAGAUCUUUUUUAAAAAAGAAUACACAUAUUGCUAUCCUAUACUAAUAUUCAUUGUUAUUUGACAGGCAUGAAGGAACAUUGGUUAAAAUUAUUGUGAAAAAAGUUAUGGGCGAGUUUAAAAGACUUUUUCAGCUAAAUGUUCCCGAACAGUUAGUGGGAAUCGAGGAUCAUGUGCAACAGAUUAUGAGCAACAUAGAUGCUGAAUUCAAUGAUACAGAGAUUAUUGGAAUUUAUGGAAUGGGCGGCAUCGGUAAGACUACUCUUGCAAAGGUGUUAUACAACAUACUCUCUAGUCAUUUUGACUGUCGUAGCUUCUUGGCAAAUAUCCGAGAAACAUCCCAGCAUAAGGGUAUUGAAUACGCACAAAAGCAACUCAUUUAUGACAUAACAAGAAGUUCAUGUGAUGUGUCUAAUGUCGACGAAGGAAUUAGUGUCAUCAAAUCUCGAUUUAUGAGAAAGAAAGUCCUAGUUCUUCUAGAUGAUAUGGAUGAUAUCACUCAAUUGAAUGCUUUGGUUGGGGACAGUAGUUGGGUUGAAUCGGGAAGUAUAGUCAUCAUCACAACUAGAAACAAAAGCAUUCUCGAUGAAGGUAGGAUGGCCUUCACGCACCAACUCAGCGAGUUAUCUUUAGAUCAAUCAUUGAUUUUAUUUAGUAGACAUGCCUUUCGAAAGGAUUAUCCUCCGAGUGAUUAUAAGGGUAUCUCUCAUGAUGUCGUAUCUACUACUAAGGGGCUCCCAUUAGCUCUUGAAGUUAUAGGUUCGUUCUUAUGGAGAAAGAGAGAAGACGUAUGGAAAGGUACAUUAAAAAAAUUAAAGAAUGCGCCCGAUGAGAAAGUGCAAGAGAAGUUGAAAAUAAGUUAUGAAGCAUUAGAUUAUAGGAAACAACAAAUAUUUUUGGAUAUAGCAUGCCUUCCCCUCGAAUUUGAGAGACAAUAUUCAAUGUGUAUGUGGGAUGCUUGUAGUUUUUUUCCCUGAGAUGGGGAUUGAAGUAUUAAGUCUUUUGUCCCUAAUUAAAAUUGACGAAGAUGGAAAGCUAUUGAUGCAUGAUCAAUUGAAAAAACUUGGAAGGGAAAUUGUUUAUCUAGAAAAUCCAAGGGAGCCUCAAGAGCGUAGCAGAUUGUGGAUAAAUGAGGAAGCCUUAGAUGUGCUUGACAAUUGCAAGGUAUAAGUUUCCUCUACUUUUUUAAGUCAAUGAAUGUGGGUCCAUCUUCCCUUUCUUGUUCGGAAAAAAAAAAAAAGUUAGUCUUGAGUCCCCAUAACUUGCUUGCUGCUUCUACAAGCGAAAGCUCUUUUUUGAUUAAUUGUUGUUUUUGCCUGAUUCUAGAAAUCUAUGGUAAAAAUGAGCAAAAUUUAGAUGACUACUACUUCACUAUAACAAAAUCAACACGAAAAUGAAAAGAUAACAUCAAACAUCUGUAGCAAUAAAAAGAAUCAUAUAUGGAAUGUUUGAUAUUAUCAAUUUUCCUUCCACGUAUAAUGAAAAACCCUCAUUGAAGAAACACAUGAUAAGAAAGGAACCUAAAACACAUGCGUACUUUUUGCGAUGAUAUUCUUGUUUUCAUUUCGAUACGGAGAAUUGUCAACAAAGUAAAUGAAAAAGGUGAGGGAAUUCUACAAUUGGGAUUCUUUAAUUUUGAUACUUAUAUUGAUGGCAAGUUUGAUUGAUGUAUUUGGACACUUAGAGUUGUAUUGGUUACAUUCACAUGAUAGAAGUAAAGGUAGUGUUAUUUCACAUACAAAGGGCAUGAAUUUUGAUAGAUAUAUUUGAUUUAGUGUAUGCAUGAAGAGAGGCCUUCCAUUAUAGUUGUAAAUGGACACAAAUUUUGGAAAUUCAGAAGGUGCAAAAUGCGAAGUGUAUAGUUGGAUGAGGAAAAAGUUCGGGAACAACCACUUGAGCUUCUCAUCUUUACAUAUUUUAGAUAAAUAAUAUGCAAUUGCAACCUUUCAUUUUACAAAAUUGAAAGGGAGAAGCCUAUAUGCCAUAGUAGAAUGUCGGCAAAUUGAAAUUAGUGCAUUUUAUUUUAUAUCAGUUGGUCUCAUCUCAUCAUUCAAAACUUAUGGUCCACAAUGUUUCCAAGUUGCAGGGCACCAAAAAGAUCGAGGCCCUUUCUCUUGGCAAAUGUAGUGAGGGAAAAAAAUACGCAGCUGAACAAUUUAAAGAAUUGACCAACUUGAGGUUCCUUCAAGUGGAUGGUGCUAAUUUCACUGGAGAUUUCCAAAGCUUACUUCCUGAGUUAAGAUGGCUUAAGUGGAACCGCUGUCCCUCGGAUUUCGUUGCGGUCAACUUUCAUCCAAAGAAAUUAGUUGUACUCGAUCUGUCAGAUAGUGCAAUUUCGGAGCAUUGGGAAGGAUGGGAUCCACUCAAGGUAAGACUUAAAGAAGGCAUUGAAGUAUUUUUUAACAUGACAUUUUUUUCUUUGUACAUUUGAAAAUUGAUUUUCACAAUUAAAUUAGCCGUUUCUCUUUAAUUUGAUACUACUGAACGAAAACAUGGUGCCCAAUGAUUACAUCUCUCUUCCAUUUGGACUUGUCAUAUGCUUUUUUGAUAUUAUAAGUUGCUUAUGUCUAAUCGGAAAAUAUCUCUUUUGAAAUUUUAUUCGAAAAUAAAUGUAGUUAGCACUUGUACAUUCUAAUAUUCUUUUGCAAUCGAUGUGCUUAGAAAACAUUUAUCUAUUGACGUGGCCAAACAUUACUUAAAGAGGCAUUUAAAAUUAAAUAAGACAACCGCAAAGGAGUAGAGGAGCACGGGUAACUUUUGAGGAAUUCUAAAAGGUCAAAAACAUAAGGAGUAGCAAAAAAUCACAGGUUGCGAUAGUCCACUUACACUGACGUACCAUUUCUUUCUUCUAGAUGGCGACUGAGCUCAAAGUUCUCAACCUCAAUGAGUGUAAAUUUUUGAAAAGAACUCCCGACUUGUCCACUUUCAAAAGGUUGGAGAUUUUACAUCUUGUACUAUGUUAUAAUCUAGAAGAGCUUCAUCCUUCUAUUGAAAAAUUGGCAUCAUUGAUCGAGCUGGACUUAACAGAUUGUGUAUCGAUUACGAAAUUACCCGAAAGCAUUUGGAAUCUACGAAAUAUGAGGGUCUUGGAUAUUAGUGGCACUCACAUAACAGAAUUGCCUGAUGCCAUUGGGAUGUUGGCAAAACUCCAAAAGUUACGUGCUUGGGUUUGCAAACUGGAGGGAGUAUCUAGUAAUAUAUGCAAACUGACUUCGCUAGAGGAGCUCUACGUUGGUUAUUGUGAGAAGCUUCAAGAAUUACCAGAACUGCCCUCCGGCUUAACCUAUCUGUCCUCCGGCUUAACCUAUCUGCCCUCCAGCUUAACCUAUCUGGUGAUCGCCUGGCAGGGGCAGUCUUUGCCCCAUCUUUCCCAGCUAACCCAUCUCAAGUAUCUAUGUCUUUCCCAUUGUCAUCGGCUUGAAUGUGUCCCAGAGCUUCCCAUUGGACUCUCAGAGCUUGCUAUUGCAAGGUGCGGAAAAUUGAAAGCCUUGACGAAUUUGUCAGACUUGAAACACUUGCGAGAAUUCAGUAUUUUUGAAAGCCCAUCUCUCGAAGGAUCGCCCGACGUGUCGAAUUUUAGGCGUACGCAGAUGAUAGAACUUGGCUUGAAAGAGUCCCGGGGCUUCAUGGGGAGCUUAAUAUUCGAGCGUUCACCCCGCUGGUUUCCUUGGCCCGAAGAUUGAAGCCACCGUUCGCACCGCUCAUCCACCGCAGGCAGGCGGGCAGGUCGGUCGGCGCGGCGGAGAUGACGACGGCGACGGCAACGAGGCGACGCCACGGCUGGCAGCGCCCUCUCCAUCCGCUCCAGGUAAACGCAUGCACGCGUCUUUCCUGUGGUCUCUCAGCUUCAUCUGCAUUUUAGAACCACGUCGCUCCGACGCGCGAGCUCAUCAAUUGUUCGGAUUGGAGAUUUUAGUUUUCUCAGUAGUAAAUGUGUAGGGCGUGAUGCAGAUGAUCGAUCAAUCGCAUUUGAAGUUUAGAGUCGAUCAAUCUCAUGUCGUAAAUUUGCAAUUGCAGACAGUUGGGAUGGCGGUGUUCAGUUUCCUAGCGGUGGCCUUCUAGGUCUUCUUGGGACUGUUGCUUGGGAACGGGGCUGCUGAAAUCACCAUGACGACAAUAUUCUCUUUUGUGGUAACUCCCUUAGCGUUUACUUUGUGCCAUGAUGACAUUGAUUGCUUUUCUUUCGUCAGUUUUCUGGGAAUUGAUGGGAUUUUCCACAUAUUUCCCCCGAUUUUCAGGUGUUCUCGGCGAUGUUUCUGUUCGUCUGGUGUACUGCGAUAGAUCUGAUGGAUAGGACCAGUUAUAGAAAGAAGAAGAGAGGCUCCGAAGCAAUAGCGCUCGCGGACUUUUGUGCCUAUUCCUCGAGCUCCCUUUUCCAAUUUUGAUGCUUGAUUUGCCUAUCUGGGUACUUCUUCUUUCUCUUUUUUCUUGAAUGAUGAUGGAAGGAAGGUUGGGGCUGAUAUUCCUGUGGAAGUCUAAUGGUGGAUCCUCUGUAUGUGUAUACGAAGAGAUAUGUAAUAAAGCAAAGAGAUUAGCCUGGGGAGAUAUCCUUUCUGGCAGCAUAUCAGCGAGUCUUCAGCACCUGACUGCUUAGCUUUGGAGGAGAGAGCGAACUCAAUAGGUAGAAGUCAGUAGCUGUGGCAUAUGGAUGAGUUGAGUAGGAAAGUAGUGCACAAAGUUCUGUGGAUAAGCUGGACAUUGUCGUUUGGGGUACUAUCUAGGAAAAUACUUUGAACUUGUACUUUUACAAGAUGGGCCCACCUCCUUUUGGAAUUGAAGUUAAACGUGUGGGAGUGAAGGGUUGUAAAAUUAGAUAAUAUCCUUGGUCUAUGAUGACAAAGAGAAAAAGGCUCUUUGUCUUAGUCAAGUAGUUUUAUUUUGUUUUAUCGCCUUUUCAGGGUUUAGUGAAGUCAGGAGUUGGGGCUCCUCUUUGUUUUUUAUUCUGCUUAAUAGAUAUGUUUUUGGGGUUUGCAUUAUCUUUUAUAGAGAUGGAUAGGUAUUUCCCCGUUGCCUUGCUUAUUAUACUUAUUGCAUAACAAAGAAACUGAGGAGAAAAGAAAUUGAGAUUGGGUACUGGAGGAGCGAUUUGUAAUACUAAUUCAGGGGUAGAUGUUCAUCCACCCACUGACAAACUAAUAUGCAAUCAAUUAAAAAUGAACUAUGAGUACGGGUUGUAAUUGCAAUAAGGGUUUGCUGCUGAGUUUCUCCCUUGCACGAACACAGCAUGUGUUACGUUUGCUGGAGAAAGGAAUAUUAAAAAAAGCGCGAGCCAAGAUUAUUGUGUUUGGUCACCUACCUGGUUCUUGGGGCUUGAACUUUUGUCUCCACCUUCCUCUUCAAGUGAUAUAAAGGAGUCACAAUUAUUUGAUGACACUGAUACUUGGAUAUUCAUGCAUUUAAAUUGUUUUACCUGUAUUUAGUUGCUCCCAAACUUUCUUGUAAUGAAAGAAAUGUCUUACACACAUUAUUAGAAGGUGAAUGUCGUCAUCGAGGUUAACCUAUGUCCAAGUAUUUGCCUUCUCAUCUCUGCUUUUAGGUGAAAAGCUAGUGGAAUUUUCGCUCUUCGUCGAUGGUAUUUCAUUGUUAUGGUAUGCUGAAUGCUGAUAAGUUCCUCUGGAUUAGUUAGAGCAUGAUGAUUGGUGGCUAUUAAUUAUACCUAUGUGAGAUCUUUACCUUAAAAGUUGGUUUUAGGUUGCAAUCUGUCUAGGAUGCAAUUUAAAAGAUGGAAGUUGGUCACAUCAGAAUCAUUCCCAGUUUUGAUCAGGAACAGGAUCAUUGGAGAUGGAGAAUGGGAUUCUCGCUCCUGGUCCCAAAUAUCCAAGUUUGCCUAUUUAAUUGGGACUCAAUCUCAUCGUAAGUAAAAUGAAGCCCCAGUUCUCAUUGUGCAUGACCCAUUGUACGUCUAAAACAAUAUCUAAAGGCCAAACCUGCUAAGUCAGGCUAACUUUGGGCAUGGAAAUACAAGGGGACUUAAAAUGAGAAUGAGGUGUUGCCCUCAUCCUGAAUUAGAUUGCAUGGAAGAUUUAAUGGCUGGUUAUGACAAGGCUGAAGAUACUUUCCAUACAGACUUGGGAGAGUCCAUAAGCUUUCAACCGGAUCAACCUUUUAUUGCUGGAGUUGGAAGUGGUCUCUACAUUCAUGAGAGGGUGGGGUAAAUAGGAGGUCUGCUGUGCCUCCACAAACAGCAAUGGAGCACAAUGCCCUAACCUUUGUAUGGCAGAAUCUCUUCUGGCUGGGGACAGAGUUCAUUUUUUGCAUCAUAGCAUAUAGCUCUUCACCUUGUCUAUUUCUUUCAUCUUCUUGUCUUCUUCUUUUCACUGCCAUCGUCUGGUUUUGCAUUCGUUUUGCUCUCUUCUGUACUUUUGCCCAAUGCUUCUCUAGAUAGCUUUCUCGAGAGUUACAGGAGCUUCCUCAAUGGUGUGCUUCUGUUGUGGUGGCUCUUGUGCUUUUGAUUUAUACAUUUGAGCUUCAUUUCCCUUUUUUAAAAGAUAACAUGUAGGUAUUAGUACAGAAAAAAAAGAUUAACAAUCUAUUUCUUUAGAACUUAAUUUUCUGUAGAGUCUUAUGAUCAUUGAUCCAAAGCAUGUUCCGAUUUCAAUCAUGUGGGAUUGGUCUUAACAACAUUUAACUUGAGGGUUAAAUUUAUAUGUAUUUAUACUGCAGGGAUUGCCUCCCAUACGUGAACUGAUAGAUCUUCACCUGUUGUUUUGUGUAGCUAUGAUGUGACAUCUAUGUAUGACUAUCUGAAAAAUGAAUGUCCUCGGCAUAUCUAUAUGGAAAUUGGCUCUAGGCAAUCCAUCAAGAUUCAAGAUCUUAGUCUUAGGGCUUGUGCUUUACUAUGGUGGAAUCCUCUAGAAUCUAGUAUGGUGGAAUCCAUUGGAGUCUAGGAUUAUGGAAUCCUCUUCUGUUUCUCACCUUGUGUUUCUUGAUUCUUUCACAAGAUUGCCCCAGAUUUUUACUGAUUCUUGUUCUUCUACCUUCGUAUGAAUCACAUACAUCUUUUCGGGUCUAGUACAGGACAUGUUUCAUGAUAUGUCCUUUAUGGGGAUAAUGGUGCUUGUGCCGUUUGCAAGUUUUCAAUUGGUUGGGAUUCUCUUGAUACAGAUACCUGUAUUCAUAUUGCACCUUCCUAUUAUCCCUUUUGAUUUCUUUUUUGACUAUUUCUUCAUGCUAGAAUGAAACAUUUUCCGUGCUGUUAAUCAAAUCAGUUCAACUCUAAUAAUUGUGCUCUAGACAGAAUCAAGUCAUUGACUUGAUUAGAUGGUGACAAACGUGUCGCUGUUUUCUCAUCAACAGGCUGUGACAGCAAUGGUGUAGCAGACUAUGCAAUAUAUUAACCAGACAGCUGAUUUUGAGACAAUGAUAGAGCUUAUUGGGACACUUUACUCUAUUGCCCUGUGAUGGUUAAAAUGUGAAAUGAAACCCUAUUGCAGAUUAUGUUUAUGAGCAAUCUUUUUUUUUUUCCUUCCCCGUGGUUUCUAUAGCUAGUUUUGUUAUGCAGAUAUAUGUCGAAAUUGAGAGAGCACGGUUGAUUAAGAAGAUUGCAAAAGUAAAGGAAGAACAAGGUCUUAUAGCAGAAGCUGUUGACUUUAUGCCGGAAAUUGCAGUAACUAGAAGCUGACUACUGUUGUCACUGAUCUUGUAAUUGAUUUUUCCUUGUCCAACAUUUCUAUGAUGGGUUUAAAUUGCAGGUAGAAACUUUUAUGUUGUGUCCACUAUCUUUUAACUAAAUUGUUUUCACUGAUCAAUCGCUACCUAGUAUUCAAGUUAGGGUUCAAACCAUGAACUUGUAUGGCUUUAUUUAGUUGGUACAUACUCUUCUUCCUUUCUAGCUUUAUAGCAAACUCUGACGAUCAAGAUGUGCUUAAUGGAUCUAAACAUACAUCUCAGUUUACCUAGUGUUCAUGCUAUUAAUGAUGUAGGUAUUACUCACAUAACAACAAUUACCUCAAGAUAUGUUGAUGCUAUAAGGCCACAUGGUGAAGGGAAACCCAGAGCAGUUGAUACCGGUGAAGCUCUAUUGUUGUUGAGUCUUCACUGAGUGUUUUGAGGCACGGCUGUAGGUUCUAAGGAAAAUCUACUGGUACUUGGUUCUAUCACCACAUAAUCCUAUGUAGUCAAGCCUUCUUAAUGCCGCUUUAAGGAUCAAAAUCUCUCAUAUAUUACCCAAUUCAGGUACCAUUUUUGAAUUGUUCUGGGUAAUUGGUUGUACAUCUUGCAACAUCUCAAUAACGUGCCAUAGAAUUUGGUUGACCAUGCCUUUGUUACUUUAACGCAGGUUGCUUCUGAAACAAUUGGUCACACUGGAGGCUAUCCAAUGGACUGUUCUUUGGAGUACUUUUAAAGAUGAAUUUGAGAAUGAGAAAAACAUGCUUGGAGGUGCACUUGUUGAGAAGGCAGCAGAAGAUCUUAGACAGAGAAUCAUUAAAUGUGUAAUUACAGAACUUUGUCAUUUGUGACUCACUCUAUUUUCUGCAGAAUAUUAUUGUUGUUUCAAAGUAUUACCCGAGGAUUAUUUUUAAAGAGACUUCCAGAGCUGUGAUGCCUUAGUAUUUAGAUCUGAUUAUGGGGAACAUUGGUUUAUGUUUUAUGAAUGAUUUUCAAGACCCCACAUUUAACCCUGAGCAGCCUCUCUGCCUGUAAUCCCUGAUUGGGACAUGGUUGCCGGACUUGGAUACAAAUUCUAAAAUAGUGGAAACGAGGUUCAGGUGCCUUGAAAGCCGAAGGCUUGUCAUGGAAUUGAGAAUGUUGUCUUUGUAGUUUCGUUCCGUAAACAUUUCUGACCGACAUAUAUGUGUGCACUUGGCUUAGUCAACUUUUGCUCAUAAAAUUUUUAGCUGUGUGAGUGUCUGGUAUUGUGAAACCAUUUCUUGUCCCAUGGAGACUGAAAUUUCGAUGCCCUUUGGAAGGGUGGGAGGAGCUGUGCUAUAUUGCUAUGAUAGUUCAGCAAGUUUUUUCUACUAGUAUUAUCACUCACCUUUUUCGGCAUAUAAAAGUAUAUCCCACUGUUGGAGCUUUCUUAAUGUGUUUCUACGUAGCUGAAUCACUCAAGGAGAAGAGCUCUCUUCUCGGGUUUCUAUUGCUGCUGUUGAAGAGCGUUUUAAUCGUUCACAUGCCUCAAUUGAUAAAAUCAAUACUAUCAUCUAAUAUAAAGAUUUGUAAUGAUAAUUAUCCAAGCUUUUAUUAUAUUCUAUUGCAUGACCUAUUAGUUUUGUAUUACCAUUUUAGGAAGCUGAGAAGCAUCUCUCCAUAAUGGUUGUUUCCAGGUCUUGGUGGCAAAAGAUAAGCUAGCUGAUGUGAGUUCUCUGUCUCCAAAUGACAAAGGAGAGUAAUGACAUGGUGGCAACAGAUAAGCUAGCUGAUGUGAGUUCUAUGUCUCCAAAUGAGAAAGGAGAGUAAUGACAUCUUAAACUCGAUGGUGACAAAUUUGGAAAAGCUCCUUGAUCUUGUUGAGAAACGUUGCCAACAAGUCCACAAGGGAAACCAAGGUUCAUAAGGCUUACUUUUAGAGCUUGAAGAUGCCCUAGUUGAAUGAAUGAUCUCUCUCCCCUUGAGUCUCCUCUCAUCGAGGAAGAGAAGUUGAAGAAUGCUGUUUCCCAUUAUGCUCUGAAGUGGAGACUGAAGAUAUUCCUUAUAGAUUUCUCGUGCAGCCAUUCUAAAUUUGACUGCAUAUUUUGUAGAUGGACCGGAUCUAGACCUUGUGUCGUGAAAGGAUAUACUGAAUGCACUUUCUGCAUUGGAGUGCGUUUUGAUCUUUUGAUCUUUCCUCUUUCCUCCUGUUUUAGUUGAAGAUUUGUUGGCUUUCAAGGGUAGGAACUUGUACCAGUGGAACAGGUAUCUGCACAAAAUGGGCACUCAUUCGGACUGAAGUGAGAGCCUUGUUACUAAACUUUGUUUCGCAUCACAAAUUCUGACGGUGCUUGUGUUUUCCUAACACUGGGGAUAAAAUUACGUCUCCCAAAAGUAAAGGCUAAUGAAUGUUGUUCUUUUAUUUCAUCUCGCAUUUGAAAUGAGCACCCGGUUUCUAAGGACCUUCAUUUCAAUAAGAUAAAUGCACUUUUUAUCUCCUCGAGGGACGUUACUUUUCUCCAACUUAAUACAUCAAUAAUUAUAAGAUCACUUUAAAAUUAUUCUUGAGGUCUUUGUUAACAAGGCCGAUUAUUUAUGAGAAGCAAAUAGUUUUUUUCUUUAGAGAAUUUAAUUUUCAAUUUAAAGUGUUUAGAAAUACAAGCUUUACUACUUUUAGUUAAUGUCGCAAUGCCAUUGUCAAUGACUUAAUUCAAAUGUAGGGAAAAUUCGAGGUAACGCAAAAAAUUAAUUUUUUUUCCAUUAUUUGAAGGCCUUUUUUUACCACGUACUUGAAAACCAAUUAAUAUUCUGAAAAUAAAAAGAGCUGUUAUAAAAUAUUAAAAACAUUUAAUUUGACAAAAAUUAGUGUUAGAAAAAGUUUGUGACGUUCAUUACUUUAAUGCACGGCUGAUGAAAUAAUCGAAUUCUUCCUUGAUCAUGAAGAGCAAUUAUUGAAACUGAUCAAUUCUUGUAAAAAAAAAAUCCACUAAAACUCUUUUUUUUUUUUUAAGCGUCCCCUCUCUCCGCGGGCCACGACCUUUCGAGGUGGAAAACGUGACCCCAAUGGAGGAGAAAAUAUUCAGUGGUUCGUUCGCGCCACGUCAUUCGCUGACGUGGCGCGCACAUACCACUCAUAUUUCGACACCUGUCCUCGGGGACCCGCUGGAAAAUGAAAAGACUCCCUCGGCUCACUGACAGAAGAAAAGACAAGUCACGCAAAGCUCCCGCCCAAAAGACCAUUAUCUCUCCUCAAUUGAAUCUUCUGCAAUUUUCUCUCUCUCUCUCUCACUUUCUCUCCCCUCGCGGGAGCACAAACACAAAACGAUCGAGACCGCUUCCGCUUCCGUCUCCGGCUCCGCCUGAGCCUCGCCGGUCAUCUGCUUCUGGCACCUCGGAGCCUCACCAGUCGCGGUCGGGUCCCGACCCCCUCCACCUCCGAUUGUUCCCGCGGAGAUUGGGUACGAGGUUUGUGUCCGCCUCCGGCUCCAGCUCCGCCUUCCUCCCCCAAAAUCUGUUUCUGGCACGUCGGAGCCUCACCAGUCGCAGUCGGGUCCCGACCCCCUCCACCUCCGACUGUUCCCUCAGAGAUCGAGCAGAAGGUUUGUGUCUGCCUUCGCCUCCGGCUCCGGCUCUGGCUCCCUCCCCAAAAGCCUCAUGCCUCUGGCAUCCUCUGUCUCCGGCAUCUGCUCGUCCUCCCCGUCCCGCCGGCCUCCGCCGCGAAGCCAUCGGCCUUCGGCAGGAGGGAGGCAGCCUCGGUCUCGUUCCCGAGCGGCACUAGGCUCCCCGCCGCUGACCGGGCGCUGUCCGUAACGCUGGCCCGCUCGGUCGCGAGGGAGAUCUCGGACGGCGCGGAGAAGAAGGAGAGGCGCGGGCUGGAGAAGGAUUCUCGCCGGCCUCCGCCGCGAAGCCAUCGACCUCCGGCAGGAGGGAGGCGGCCUCGGUCUCAUUCUCGAGCGGCACCAAGCUCCCCGCCGCUGACCGGGCGUUGUCCCUGACGCUGGGCUGAUCGGUCGCGAGGGAGAUCUCGGCGGACCUGGGCGGGGUCGACGGCGCGGAGAAGAAGGAGAGGCACGAGCUGGAGAGUUUCCCGCUUGCUGUGGACCUGGGCGGGGUCCGUGCGUUUCUCUCUCGACCGGUGAGUUUCCUUCUUCCUCCCCUCUCAUGGGCUGGUUUCGGAAUGCGCAGUUGAAAUCCCGAAUGGGUUGUUUCUGUAUCUUGUUGGGUUGUUCAAUUGCCAGCGAAUGCGCGAGUAGCGAGGGAGCACAAAAGUGGAAGAUUUGAAGGUUAAUUUACUUCACAUGUCUUUGAGGACAACCUUCAUUUCUUCUAUGUAGGCUAAGCACUGUAAUGCUUAGGCUCUCUUUGAUGGAAUAAUAUGUUGUUUCGUUUAUGGCAAAAAGAAGAUAAAUAUUAGUGGGAAUAUGGGCAAUUGAAAUUUAAUUUUUCGAUGAAUAAAUGAUUUUGAUGUGCAUGGAAACACCUCACUAGAGAUAUUCUGCAACUACAAUAAUAGGUAUUCUUACAUGACUUGAUCAAAACUGCAGAGCCUAAAAUAAGUAUAUGUCCUGUUGUCCUUGGAAGACCGUAUCAGUUUUGACUAGUUACGUUGCUGGUUGAACAUGGAAUCUACAUGUCACUAGAAGGUAGAAAGAGUACAAAUCGCACAGCUCGUAGAUUGAGUGGGAAGGCAUUGCUUUCUUCUAUCGCAUAGAUAGAGCAAAUAUCGCCUGUAGAAAUUUUGCACACGCUUUUUGUGCCUGGUUGAUGUGUAUGAGAUUAAAAAUAUAGUUGUAAGACUAACCAGAGGGGUAAAUAUGUUGCUUUUUUCCAGUGCUUCCUUUGCAUCCAUGCAAGAAAUACAGUGCACUAAACGUCACAGGAGUGGCAUUUCCAUUUUUUUCCUACAAAUAAAAUAAGCAGAAAAUCUUCUUUGCUGAACUAAAUGUCAUGUUCAACCAUCAGGGAAACAUUUUGUACUCAAAUCUACUGCCCAAUAUAAUUGAUAUAGGGAUGAGAAACUUUGAGUUUGUUAAGUUUUUCACUUUUUGAUACUGAUGGUUUUUGUUUCCUAUCAUAAUCACAAAUGACAUGAACUGUUUCAACAUCCAAUUUCAGCUGGAUUUAGUCUUUGGAGAUUUACUAAAAGAAAGAGGCAGGUUGCUUUCAACAUCCUCACCCCUGGAGGAUCAUUGAUGUUGUUAGAGUGUUUUGGUUGCUUAGGAAAAUCUACAUUGUAUUAUUAAGUGUGAGUCUAGUUAUUAGUUUUUCAGCUGCAAUAAUUCUCCAUAUUGCGAUAUAUUUCUUUUUUUCUAUCGGUUCAUUUAUAUCUUCCAUUCUAAUUGUUUUGGCCGAAUUUUAAUCUGUUGCUCCCUCCUCAUACAAUUCAUAUUCGACCGUUGAUGAUCAGGGUUGAAAAGGACCCGAAGCUUUCAGAUAUCAAGACCGUUGAUGCACUCGAAAUAGUACAAACAAGGUACAACCAACAUAUUUUGCUAGCAGGCUAUCAUUGUUUUAAUUAAUUCUCUUGAGGUUCUUAUGGUACCUCUGACGCCUAAAACUGUGAUCACAGUGUUAUCUGUGGGUUUGUUGCCUGGCUAUACUAUUGAUUUGUUGAUCAUUGUGUUAAGAUUUUCCUUUGGAGUUAGCUGGUUAAAAGACCCUUACAUAAACAGACUGAAAAGUUAGCGGCUUUCUUGUUCUUUCAGCAGUUUAAUUUGAACAUGGGACAUGUUUUUCUUGUGAAUUACUAAAUCCCAUUGCUUUUUGUUUGGAGCUUUUUCUGCCAUCAAAUUUGACCUUUUUGGAAGAACUGAUUAGACCUUGGUCCUCAUUGAUGCAGUAAUAAACCAAAGCUUGCAUAUCUUUCAAAGAUUUUGAUUGCACUUUUAAGCUAUGGCGGGUCCCUAAUGAAUUUCUUUUGGACAUGGUGGAGAAUGCUAUGGGAGAUGCAAAUAGUUUCUUCUCUAGUAAACGAGCAGCUCUAAGAGGUAGUAUUCUUUUGAACUUUUGGACUGUUGAAAUAUUGUCCAUUCUUAAAACAGUCCAAAAAGAGAUUUUUCUCCAAUUUUUUUUUCUAUACUUGGAUGUGCUUCUUUUAUUUUUCUUGAUUCGAAAUAUGCAUAAGUAAAAAAAUGCAUCUCUAUUCAUCUUUGCUGGUUUUACUUCCCUUGGGUGCGUAUUUCCUUCAAUUGCUAUUUGAUGUGUAAACAUUUUCCCUUGUGUUUUCCUUUUGUUCUUUUACUGUAUGAACAGUUUUGGUGAAUCAUGGUGAGAAGGAUGGUUUCACUGCGGCCAGAAUGAUCUUAUCUGGGAUUCCUCUGGACGAAACAUACCUACAAAAUCAUCUGUCCAUCCUGAUGAAUGAUGAAAGGAAGAGUUUGAAAGGAGGAAGGAUUCCUAUUCCAGAUUCUUACUAUCUAAUGGGGACAGCCGAUCCCACAGGAAUUCUCGACAGACAGAAUGUGAGCUUGGACAUGAGGAGAUUCCACAAGCGGCUGCUUCAAGCCUAUGACUAUUCCUUCAAGAAAAUAAACGGGCAAAUUAGCUACAAUCAAACAACUGACUUGUUUAAGCUUUGCUAACUACUUUCUUCUCUUCACCUUCCUUAAAUAAUUGUGGAUAUUUCUUUCCAUUGACUGAAUGGUUGAAACUUGAAUAAAGUACACUUAUCUGUGAAUCAGUUUUUCAGGUUCAUCAUAAACUUGUAAAGAAGGCAUUUUUAACAAUUUGGUGAACUGGAUGACUUGUUAAUGAUGCUCCUCUUAACCUUCACGUCUGUUUUCCUGACAGUAGCACUUUUGGGUAAAUAUAAGGCAAUGGCCAUCUGCUUGUUUGUAUCUUCAACUAAAUUAAGCUGAACUUCAAAGAUGGGCAUGGGAUCCUGUUUUGGAAAAUGAAAAAUGGAAGUUGUUGCUAUAGUUGUGUGUGUUUUUUUAACUGACUAGCCCCUCAGUUACAUUGGAGGUUUAUAACUGAAUAAGUAAACUAUGUAUGAUCCAUAUCACGCAAGGUAUCGCUGGAUAAACUGAGGGAUCGGUUUUCAGGGCCUGUGAAGCUAUUAUAAUCAACUAUACUAAAAACAAGAACACUUGAUUCUACAGUACCACAUUGGCGUCACGUUAUAUGAAUGUCGUGCUAUAAUCUGUGAUUUUUAGCUAGCUAUACAAUAGAAGAGCAGCCGGUUUAUUAGCAGAGGCACCUGUCAUUUCCUCCAUUUAUGUUAAAAGAUGCCGAUAGCUUUGAUGACUUAAGUCAGAGAUUCAGAGAACAAUGGGCAAGAGCAGUUUGAAAACAUUACCAUAGAAAUUUCGGGCAUUAUUUGAAGAACUUGUGUCAAUAUGUACAUAAGCAGUGUGUUCAACCACAAAAUUGCUAUUGCGUUUGUCGGCUAACUCUUCAGUUUUUCCCUCGUCAAUUCUCAGUGUCUCAUCUAUCAUGUCAAAACCUCAGUCAGCUUUGAGUCGAAGCCUCACUUCGCUGGUCAUUGAACACUAAAUUUCGCCAUCUAUAGCUACAGCCAACGCUUUGCUAUCGUAGAUGAUGGGUGGACUGGAGGAGGUGUCUUGGCAUUCCUUGUGUCUUUUACAUCUUAUUGAAGAAACAAAAACAAAUAAUUAGAUGAUGGACAUAAUGAGAUGAAAUAUAUACUGUGAAUUAAAUUUAAUUAUGCUGAUUCUGCUUACUGGAAUUAGUGGACUUGCCACCCAGAGAAGACCGGCGAGACUGGUCUGAACCAGCACCUGUUAGUGAUUGUCUCCUAAGUGUCCGUGUGUUGGCUGCAAUUGCCAAUACUCCAUUUUUAAUGCAAGUAGUAGAGCCUCUGACAAGUGAACGAGCUUCUGUCACAUUUCUUUGGUUCCUGCAAUUGCAUAGAAACCAAGUCUUAAUGGCAAGAUAAUGAUGUGAGCAAAUUCUCAUAUUACCCGUCAUUUUGGAAUUUUUCAGUUGCAUUUGUGUAUUUCAUACCAUACUAAAUUUGCCCAAUUCAGUGUUAAGACUAGAUAGUUAAAUAUUUCACUGACCUCCUUUCAGAUCCAUUGAUGAGCUUCCUCUCUAUGGUGCGCAGCGAUUUCCUUAUGUGAGAUUCCUUGCCAUUCAUGCUUUGAACAAGCAAGUUGGGUGUUCGAGGAUCAGUACAAAGAGUGCGCUCUCCUUGCAUAACAAUCUGGAUCUCAUUUUUGCCAAAUCGACAGAUCCAGCCCCCUAGAAUUGUAAUGUUGAUUAUUGUCAGAAAGGCAUCUGAAGCAUAGAGAUUACCCAAGUACAUUUACCUGCUCUUUGAGUUGCAUGACCUCACUGGUCUCUUUGUUCAUGCGUGCAGCACCAAGUUCAACCAUUGAAAGUCUCCGGGCAAACUUCAAGGUACUCAUUGAUUCCCCAAAUGGAUCUCUCUCAGGGUUCACAUUAGCCAGCAUCAAUGUCUUCGCAUUUCCUCCUGAAAUAAAAUGCAUAAAAGCAAUGUCACCAUUACCCAAGGUUCAUAAUCAGAGUAUCUCAAUUCUAUGAAAUGCUCACUCUGGGAAUUAGUAAUUUUAUCCUAAAAUGAAGCUUCAAUGACACCUGACAAAGUUCGAAACUUCGAAAUAGGUACCUAGGGAAUCUUGCAGCAGAAGCGUAAGUUUGCCUGUCCAAAAACUGACCUGUGAGACCGGCUACUUCUAUUGUUCAGUGCUGUAGAACUGACGACACGAUUCACAUCACCAAAUUUCAUUAGGUUGACCACAUCAUCUGUGGACUUGAGGUUCACAUUAGCCAGCAUCAAUGUCUUCGCAUUUCCUCCUGAAAUAAAAUGCAUAAAAGCAAUGUCACCAUUACCCAAGGUUCAUAAUCAGAGUAUCUCAAUUCUAUGAAAUGCUCACUCUGGGAAUUAGUAAUUUUAUCCUAAAAUGAAGCUUCAAUGACACCUGACAAAGUUCGAAACUUCGAAAUAGGUACCUAGGGAAUCUUGCAGCAGAAGCGUAAGUUUGCCUGUCCAAAAACUGACCUGUGAGACCGGCUACUUCUAUUGUUCAGUGCUGUAGAACUGACGACACGAUUCACAUCACCAAAUUUCAUUAGGUUGACCACAUCAUCUGUGGACUUGACAGAAUGCAUGGUAGCAUCUGGAAGGCUCAAGCCACCGUCACUGGUACAGCUUCGAAUCUUUAAUUUGUGCAUAGUCAAGGAACCCAAAUUUACAUUUCAGAAACUUAAGCUUUCUUCAGUCUUUUUAUCUACUUAUUUGACAUCAAAUGUAUCUAUAUUAGACAGAAUAAUCCAUUUCAAAGGAUAUCUUGAGGAUGCUGAAUCCUCAACAAGGAGAUCACGCACUUGCUCUUAUAUAUUUCAACCAUCUGAACAUGAAUAUCAUAAGUUAUAAUGUCCUUCCUUCUGUUAGACAACUCGAAGAGAUCAUUGAGAGCCAAGUAAUUAAUCCCCAUGUCCUUUGUCAGUUCGCCUGAUGGACCACUCUGCAAUUCCAAAAGGCAAUAAGUAGUUAUUCCUCAAAUCAACGUAAGCAAUCUUAAGCAUCUGCUCAGAUUGAAUUAUGUUCAUGCUUUGCAGGUAGAUAUACGAAAUUAACAGUACAUCCAUCUAACAGCAAGGAAAAUGCACACUUUUUAUUUUACACAAAUUAUCUAGGAGCCUAGGAGGUGAUCUGGCACAAAGGUUGGAUCUACUAAAGCUACACUUAAGUUCUUACCAUUGUAUGUGUUUUACCCGAUCCAGUUUGACCAUAAGCAAAGAUGCAGACAUUGUAACCAUCCAUAACUGAUCUAAUCAAAGGUUGAGUAUCCAUGUACACAUCAUCUGCAAAGAGGGCCGCAUGGCGAAAAACAAUUUACAUUGUUAUUUAGGAGCUGAACAUCAACUUGCAGGACAAUCACUUGGCCAACAAUAUACCCUUAGACAGUAAGAUGAAGUGUAACAAUACCUUGAGUAGCAAGUGGACUGAAAACCCGAUUAAACUGAAACACUUUCCUUCCAUCUCUAUGGGGUUUUGAAGGGUCAACAAUCACAAGUGAACCAUCUUCUCCAAUAAAAUCUACCACAUUUUUGGCUUCCGCAUUAAAAAUGUAUCUAAUUCUGCAGUAUACUCGUAUAUUUCCUGUAAAGAUUUUUGUCAAAUUAAACUCAUAACAUUGGAAAUAAAACAACAAAAGCUCCUUUACUUAAAAGCAACUGACCCAUGGACAAGCAUAUACUUCUGCGGAUAAAUGCAUACUGCUCAAAAAAUUGAGUUAUGCGAUCCAAUUCAUAAACAAAUAACUCUCGAAAAAAAAAAAAAAGCUGACCUUUUAAAACCUGAACCAUGUUGUACAGGUUUCGAUUUUCCUUCACCACUUUAUGAUAUCCAAGGGCAGCAGUAGACAUCUCCUGGACUUGAUUGCCUGAUCCAUUGGAAAAGCCAAAACACAUAUUAAUGCUUAGGAAGCAUGUCACAUCUAGCUUUUAUUCUCCUUAAUAAAAUGCAAAAUCAAAAAAAAGAUCAUAACAAGAUCCCAUAGAUUCAUUCUUCAAGUUGAAAUUUGAGAUUUAUUGCCAAAUCUUAGGGAGCAUAUUAAUGACAAUGGCCUCAAUCUGAGAUAAUAACAUUCAGCGGAGGAGCUGUAAUAAAUAAAGUAUAUAGACGACACUCAUCUAAAAUGGUUGACAUUCAAUGCAAAAGGGCAAGGAACAUGCAACUCCAUGUCCUAAGCCUCGCCUGUGCUCAGAAAAAAAGAACUAAUUAGACUACUCCUUUUUAGUCUACUUUUCCUACCUAGCUGUUUUAGAUCUCUCUGAAACUGGAACUGCAGAUCUUCAAACUCCCUUUUUGUCUUCACCAACAAAGUUUUAAGAUCCUGCAAGAUGUAAAUAUUAGACUUUCUUGUCCUUUACAAUUGUUGACGGGAACAUGAAAUCACGUUAACUUAAGACCUUGCUUUAUUAGUCUAUCCUGCAAGCAAGUUUAAAUGAAAAUUGAAAAUAUCUAUUAUAGUCCCAACCACCCUUACUAAAAUCUUUUUAUCAAACAAAAUCUUUCCAAUUCAUUUUGCAAAAAUCAGCAAAAGAAGUCUGCGAGCUUUUCUUUCCUAAAGAUUUUCUGCAUCAUAUAGAGAGGCACUCACCAAAAGUUCUUUCUCUUGCAUCUCAAAUACAUUUCGAUGAUCGCAGUUACCCUCUUUCGAACAGGUUCUGCAGCACUAUGAACAAGAAGAGUGCAGAGGCAUCAGAUUACAAAUUCUCCACGGUGAUAAUAGCUACUUAAUUGCGAGCAGAAAGAUAUUCAGGUAACCAUAUGUACUAAGAACUAAUUUCUAGCUUCUAUAAUCAAGUGAUAGUUGACCAAUGAGCCGUUAAAUUUUUUUCUUUUCAGAGUACAUAAUAGAAAGAGAAUGCGAUUCCCAUUCCACUAAGGACGACAACCCACACCUGAUCGUGCUAAUUGACCAAAAAGUCAUCAUAAAGCAUCAACUAAUGUGAUAACAAGAGCAUAUUAAGGGAACAUAAUAUAUAUAAAUUUCUUGCACAAAUUAUCUCAUGCCAAUGGACAACACUAUAUGACAAAGGCAGGAAAAAGGAUAUCGGUAACUGCAACUGAACUGCAGGGGAGUAAGUUCACAAAGAUGACAUACCUUGGAUCCUCGAGUGGACAAAUCCUCCAGGGGUGAGGAUGUUGAAAGCAACCUGCCUCUUUCAUUUAGUAAAUCUCCAAAGACUAAAUCCAGCUGAAAUUGGAUGUUGAAACAAUUCAUGUCAUUUGCCUCCAAUGCCCAUGAUCUGCAAAAAGGGGUACAGAUAAGGGGGUGUAUUGACGGUAAAGUAUUAUCUGCAAAAAGGGCCACUUCAUGGUUUCUCGUGGCCAGAAAAACUACUGACUUAGGUCAACCACAUGGUCAGCCAUGGAAAUCAGAUAAAUAUGAGCAAUCGAUCAAGGAGAUACACUCUGCGAAAUGUCCAGUCCUUACAAGCGCGCGCCAUGGAAACCGAGGAAAUCAGCAGCUGGCGGAGCACCUGAGGCCGCGCUGCCGCAUCUUGCAGGAGGCGGGGAGAAGCCAGCGGCGAGGGGCCGGGGAAGCGAAGGUCCGCGGGAAGCUCGAGUCCCUCCGACAUGGCCCGCUCAGCCCCCGGCUCAGCAAGCACGUGGACAUCGUCGUCCUUCAUCAAGAUGUUCUCGAUCUCGUCGAACCACGAGAGCCCCGAGUCUGGAGACGACGACGACGCGAUCGUCGAGGAGUAAGCGCCGAUGACGUCGCCGAUCUCAGGGAGGUCGCCGAAGAAGCCGUCGAGGUUGAUGUGAGACAUCACGUCAUCCUUCAUAUGCAACUCCAGAUCCACCAUUAGAACACUAGGGGGAAAAAAAAACAACACAACAAAAAAAAGGGGGAAGAAGAUGAAGGCGACGAUGGGUGAUCUCUACAAAAACAUCUAAUUUGCUCGCGGUGGUUCGCCGGUCGGAAAGAGGGAGGGCAGAGAGAGAGGGAGGUCGCGGUCCUCUCGCCAGUCCCGUGCAGUGGUUCGUCGAUUGCUCGCGGUCCUCUCGCCCGUGCGGUGGUUCGUCGGUCGGAAAGAGGGAAUGCAGAGAGAGAGAGGGAGGUCGCGGUCCUCUCGCCGGUCCGUGUGGUGGUUCGCCGGUCGGAAAGAGCGAGGGCAAAGGGAGGCGGAAAGAGGCACAGAGCGACUGGGAGGUCGCGUCCUCUUCGUCGGAGAGAGAGAGAGGGAGGGUAGAGUGAGAGGCGCGAAGAAAGAGAGGAAGAAGAAAACCUCGCUCAGUCCGAAAUUUUUUUAAAAUGGCGCCUGAUUUUCUCAUAAGUCUGACCAGAUUGUGGGUCCCACGCCGAGCCGAACCGAGCCGAGCCGAGGGAGUCUUUUCAUUUUCUAGCGGGUCCCCGAGGACAGGUGUCGAAAUAUGAGUGGUAUGUGCGCGCCACGUCAGCGAAUGACGUGGCGCGAACGAACCACUAAAUAUUUUCUCCCAAUGGAGAAACCGCAGCGGUUUUUGAAUGUGGAGCAGUUUCCUCGCUGGUGGAUUAAAAACAUUGCAACACACACAAAGUUCUCUCGGUACCUUGCUCUGGAUAAUCGACAGGGGUUGAAUUGGAUUGCCUGUGCAUUUGUUAUUUGGUCCAACUCUUGGUCUGUAAAUAUCUGCUAAUUGCUAUGUGCUCAGCCUCUCUCUGUUUAAUUGUGCAAUUUGUAUCCCACUUUUUGAGUUGUUUGUUUGCUGGGUCGAGCCUUGCGGCAAGCAAUUAGCAACGCAGCACGAUGCCAGCACCUUUGUACGGCAACCGUCCCUUCUGGCUGGGGACGGAAGCGAUUUUACCAUUGAGUAUUUCUAUCAUCCUUUCUGUCUUUCUUCUAUUUACUGCUGUCAUCGGGUUUUGCAUUCGUUUUGGUCUCUUCUUCACUUUUGCCCCAAAUACUUNNNNNNNNNNNNNNNNNNNNNNNNNNNNNNNNNNNNNNNNNNNNNNNNNNNNNNNNNNNNNNNNNNNNNNNNNNNNNNNNNNNNNNNNNNNNNNNNNNNNUCUUCGCCGAUGGGAGGUAAAUAUAUGAAAUCAAACUCCAUCGCAGCUUAUAUGCGUCAGCAAUCUAUUUUUGUUUCGUGGUUUCUAUAGCUAGUUUUGUCAUGCAGAUAUAUGUCAAAAUUGAGAGAGCACGGUUGAUCAAGAAACUUGAAAAAAUAAAGGAAGAUCAGGAUCUUAUAGCAGAAGCUACUGAUUUGAUGCAAGAAAUCAGGGUAACUAGAAGUUGACUUCUGUUGUCACUGAUCUUGUAAAUGGUUUUUCCUUGUCCAACAUUCCUAUGAUGGGUUUGGAAUGCAGGUAGAAACUUUUGUAGCAAUGACAAGUCUGGAGAAAGUUGCCUUCUUCUUCUUCUUUUUUGUUUUUUUUUUUUUUGAAGAAGUAUGGAUUUUUUAUAUUGCUUUUAGCCAUUUACGCACUAUUACUCUGAUUGGUUUCCUGAUUGAUGGGUUUUGCAGGUUUUUUUGUGCUUAGAUCGCCAGGAUUAUGUCUAUGCACAUAUUCUUUCCAGGAAAAUCAGCCCCCAAGUGUGUGAUGCAAAUCCUUCCAAAGAGAAGAAAAAGCCUAAGGUGAAAACAUUGUGGAACAAGCUCCAGCUGAUAUUCCGUCACUUCUGGAGUUGAAAUGGAAAUACUAUGACUCAUGACACAGUAAAUUGGCGUUUUGCUUUGUCUAGUGUUUGUCCACUAUCUUUUAACUAAUUUGUUUUUGCCAAUCAAGCGCCACUUCGUGUUCAGGUUGUGGUUCAAACCACGAACAUGUAUGCUUUAUAUAUUUGGCACAUACUAUUUUUCCUAAGGUGUAUUCUCUUGUGCCUUUCUAGCUUUAGCGCAAAUUCUGACGAUCUAGAUGUACUUGAUAGAUUUGAACUCUCUUAGUUUACUCUGCAUUUAUGUGGUCAGCAAUGUAGGUAUAGGUAUUACUCACACAACAACGAUUACCUUAAGAUAAGUUGAAUAAAUAAGGCGAUAGAUGAGAUUCCAUCAGUGAAGGGAACCCAAAGCAGCAGAUGAUGAUGAAGGGAAACCCAGAGUAGUGAUACUGUUGAAGCUCUUUCAUUGUUAAGUCUUCACUGCAAUUUUCAAGGCACUGCUGUUCAUUCUGUGAUUUAAUUUAAUGCAGGUUCUAAGGGAAAUCUGGUGGUGCUUGGUUCUAUCACCACAUGAUCCUAUGUAGUCAAGCCUUAUUAAUGCCACUUUAGAGGAUAAAAAUCUCUCAGAAAUUCUCAAUUCAGAUACACCUUUAAUUUACUUUAGGUAAUUGGUUGUACAUCCUCUUUCACUAUCUCCAUAGUGUGCCAUAGAAUAAGGUUGACAGUGCCUUCAAUAUUUUAAUGCAGGUUGCUGCUGAAACAAUUGGUCAAGUUGGAGAUUAUCCAGUGGCCUGCUUUUUGGAGUACUUUAAAAGAUAUAUUUGAGAAUGAGAAAAACAUGCUGGGAGGUGCACCCGUUGAGAAGGCAGCAAAAGUUCUUAGACAGAGAAUCAUUGAACUUGUGAUAGCAGAACUUUGUUGUUUUUUUUUUAUAUGACUCAAUAUUAUCUGUUUCUGCAGAAUAUUAUCAUUCAAAUGUGACUUGGUUGGUGGCAGAGAACAAUCGAGAGAGAGAGAGAGAGAGAGAGAGAGAGAGAGAGAGAGAGAGAGAGAGAGAGAACAAUCGAUUAAAGACGAACUAUGAUUAUGAGUAUCUACCCAUUGCCUGAACAUGGCAUGUGUUAUGUUUGUUGGAGAAAGGCAUAUUCAAAAAGCAAGAGCCAAAAUUAUUGUGUUUGGUCAUCUACCUGGUUCUUGGGGCUUGAACUUUUGUCUCUGCCUUCCUCUUCAAGUGAUAGAAAGGAGUCACAAUUAUUUGAUGACACUGAUACUUGGUUAUUCAUACAUGUUAAGUUGUUUUUGCUGUAUUUACAGGGUCGUCCAGGUUAACCAAUGUCCAAGUGUUUGCCUUUUCAUCUCUGCUUUUGGGUGAUAAGCUGGUGGAAUUUUCACUCUUUGUUGACGGUAUUUCAUUGUGAUGUGAUGCUAAAUGCUGAUAAGUUCCUCUGUAUUAGUCAGAGCAUUAUGCCUAGUGGCUAUUAAUAAAACUAUCCAAGAUUUUUACCUUUUAAAUCGUUUUUGGGACUCACUAUCUGUAUAGGAUGCAAUAAAAAGAUGGAAGUUAGUCACAUCAAAAAUCAUUCUGAGUUGGGAUUAGGACUAGGUUCAUUGGAGAUGUAUAAUGGGAUUCUUAAUCCCAGUCCAAAUAUCUGACUUAAUCCGAGGAUUGGGGCAAAUUUUUUACUUGUUCUCGUACUCAUGUAUGAAUCACAUUAGGGGGUGGGUCUAGUUCAGGAUACGUUUCAUGAUAUGUCCUUUAGGGGGAUAUUAUAGUGCUUUUGCUGUUUGCAAGUUUUCAAUUGGCUGGGAUCCUCUUCAUGGAGAUUCCUGUAUUUGUAUUGCAUCUUGCUAUUGUCUCUUUUGGUUCCUUUUGUGAACAUAUUUCAUUCUAGAGUGAUGAAUUUUUUUGUGCUGUUAAUCAAAUAGUUCAAAUCAAAAUUUUUAAUAGUGAUCUAGAUGUACUUGAUUGGACAGUGACAUACAUGUAGCUGUCUUCUAAUCAACAGGCUGUGACAGCAAUGGUGCAAUAGGCUAUACAUUACAUUGAUCAGACAGCUGAUCUUGAGACCAAGAUAGAGGUUAAUUAAGAUACGUAACUCUGUCGCUGAUGGAAAGGUGAAUAUGUGAAAUCAAACUCCAUUGCAGCUUAUAUUCAUUCAUAAUCUAUUUUUGUUCUGUGGUUUCUAUAGCUAGUUUUGUCAUGCAAAUAUAUGUCGAAACUGAAAGAGCUCAGUUGAUCAAGAAAUUUGCAAAAAUAUAGGAAGAUCAUGAUCUUAUAGCAGAAGUUACUGAUUUGAUGCAAGAAAUUGGGAGUUGAUUUUGAUUGUCACUGAUCAUGUAAUUGGUUUUUCCUUGUCCAGCAUUCCUAUUAUGGGCUUGAAUUGUGGAGGGAAACUUUUGGAUCAAUGGCAAAGACGAAGAAAAUUUCCUUUAUAUUUUAACAAGUGAGGGUUUUUUUGUUUAGCCUUUUGUGCACUAUUACUAUGAUUGGUUUUCUGAUUGAUGGAUUUUGCAGGUUCAUUUGUGCUUAGAUUGCUAGGAUUAUGUCUGUGCAUAGCACAUAUCUUUUCCAGGAAGAUCAGCCCCAGAAUGUUUGAUGCAAUUCCUUCCAAAGAGAAAAAAAAAAGCCUAAAGAAGGUGAAAGCAUUGUGGAAGAAGCUCCAGCUGAUAUUUCGUCACUUUUGGAGUUGAAAUGGAUAUACUAUGACUCAUGAUACGGUAAAUUGGUGUUUUGCUUUUACUAGUGUCGUGCCCACUAUCUUUUAACUUAUAUCUUUUUGCCGAUCAAGCACCACCUAGUGUUCAGGUUGUGGUUCAAACCACAACACAUUCUCUUGUUUCUUUCUAGCUUUAGUGCAAACUCUGACAUUCCAGAUGUACUUGAUAGAUUAGUACUCGCAUCUCAGUUUACCUUGCAUUUAUGUGGUUAACGAUGUAGGUAUAGGUAUUGCUCGCACAGCAAUGAUUAACUUGAGACAUGUCGAUGCUACAAGGCAAUAGGUGAGAUUCCAUCAGUGAAGGGAAACCCAGAGCAGUGUACACUGGUGAAGCUCUUUCGUUGUUAAGUCUUCACUGCGUGUUUCAAGGAACAACUGUUUAUUCUGUGAUUUAAUUUAAUGCAGAUUCCAAGGAAAAUCUGUUGGUGCUCGGUUCUAUCACCACAUGAUCCUAUGCAGUCAAGCCUUCUUAAUGCCUCUUUAGAGGAUAAAAACCUCUCAGAAAAUUCCCAAUUCAGGUACCAUCUGUGAAUUGUUGUGGGUAAUUGGCUGUACAUCUUGAAAUAUCACAAUAAUGUACUAUAGAAUUGGUUGACCAUGCCUUCAAUAUUUGAACGCAGGCUGCUUCUGAAACAAUUGGUUAAGUUGGAGGUUAUCCAGUGGCCUGCUUUUUGGAGUACUUUCAAAGAUGAAUUCAAGAAUGAGAAAAACAUGUUGGAAGGUGCACCUGUUGAGAAGGUAGCAGAAGUUCUUAGAUAGAGAAUCGUUGAACUUGCACUUGCAGAACUUUGUCUUUUUUCUUCUUUUUGGAUCAUCAUUCAGAUGUGACUCAAUCUAUUUUCGGCAGAAUACUAUCUUCAUUUCAAAGUAUUACUCGAGGAUUACCUUGAAGAGACUUGCGAAGCUGUUGUGCCACAGCAUUCAGGUCUGAUUGUGUUGAACAUUUUUUUUUU
rnacentral:lncRNA from 1 species